rnacentral:lncRNA from 1 species
UUUUUUUUUAAUCUUAUUUUUCUAUUUAAUAACAUUCACCGUCAGAAGACUAGGUUCCAUCUACAAAAUAUUCAAUUGAAAAUUAAAUUUUUGCUGGAUAAGCUUGAAAUUAUUUUAGGCACGUUGAGUCUCAAUUUCAAAGGGACCGUAAGGUCUGAAGUAGUUAACUGUCAGUCUUGGAAGCAAAUGUCUUACUCCAUGAACUGGACCCUUAAUCCACUACGGCCGAAUAAAUACUUAUAUAAGAAAAAUUAAGAAAAAUAUAAUUCUUAUCAAUAAACUAAAAUUAAUUUAUGUAUAACAGUAUAAGUCGACUUAUACAAGUUAUCUCAAUUUACUUUCUCCACAAGUUUAUUUAGUCAAACCAACUUAUAAAUUAUUAAAUUAACUUGUUAAACACACUAUAUUAUACACUAGACAGAAAACCUAGGUGAUGCACGGAAAUUGUGAAGGGACUAAUUUUUUGUCUGUAAAAAAAAUAUUGAUAAUUUUGUCAAUUUCUUAUAUCUUUUAAAAAAAAUACUAUAAAAAGAAAAGAAAACAAAGAAAUGAGCAUUUCCUGUUUCAUAUUAUGAGCCAAUGGUUAUCUACAAAUGUAGACAAAUAUUUUCUUUUAAUUUUAAUUCAAAUGCUCCAUUCUUUCAAAGAAAAAAAAAAGUUAUAUACCAACAAUGUAAAUUUUUUUACAUAAAUCAUUCAAUUUAUAAUAAUAAUAAUAAUAAUAAUAAUAAUAAUAAUAAUAAUAAUAAGUUUGUUAAAUUUUAAAAUGAUCAUCUUAAAAUAAUUCAAAACAAUAAUUUAUGACUAAAUGAUAUUAUAAAAUAAUUUUAUACACGUCUUUGUACCCUUAGUACAUAAACAUUAAAUUUUUUUUCAAAAAUAAUCUUUUCACGAAGACAUGAUUUCACUAAAAAAAUAUGUAAUAAAAAUAUAUUUCUAUUGUGUAAGAAAUGCAAACCUGUCAUUCCACUAUAUAGUUUUACAAAAUAUCAGAAAUUGAGUUUAAUUGGCUUGAUCUUAAAUGAAACUAGCAUAUAAGUUGAUAAAAUGAUAGUUCGUACUAACUUGAAUGAUAUCCGGUAUAGUACUUUCUAUUUAAGAAUGAUUUUUUUCUAAAACGUGGUCUCAACAGUUUAGCAUAAAAUAUUAUUCACACUCCCAAAGUUAUUCAACACACCUCCCUUUCCUUUUUUAUAUUUGUUAUUUUCUAAAAUGCCCUUUUAUUCAUACCUCUCCCUAAUUAUCCAAGAUGUUGGGAUGGAGGUAUCCUGAUAUAGAUCAGGACUAUGUGACUGAAUUUGGCUAAAAUAUAUGGCACAAAACUCUGCCGAGGAUGGCUUUAUAACUAAUUCUGAUCAUUACAAUACAGACUACAUUCGGGAAAUCUAUUCUAAUACUAAUGAUUGCAAGAAGAGCCAUAGUUUUUUUAUUAGUUUGUUGGCUGCUGCACUGUAUACAAUGCGUUUUUAGAUAAUGGAGGGGUAGGUUUAUUUAAAGCAUGGCUUGGAGGUAUUUUGAAGUAGACAAGGUGGGUAUAAAUAUGGAAUCUGGUUGCUCCGGUUGGCUGGAAUUCGAGAUAAUAAUUUAAAUGUCUUGAUGAAGUUGCUCCGGUUCAUCUUUGCCUUCGUCAUUAGCAACGAGUAGGGGCAGAGAGUUUGGAUAAUUAGAAAAAGUAUAAAUAAAAAGGCAUUUUGGAUAAUAACAAAUAUAAAAAAGGAAAGAAAUAUAAGGUUAGUCUAAUGGUUGAAGAAUGAUGAAGGAAGAAGAGGAAAAGGUUGUGAGUUCAUUUCUUCCAACUAACAUUUCUAAUAAAACUAAUAAAUUAGCAUUUGCUGAGAAAAAAAAGGGAGGUAUGUUAAAUAAUUUAUUGGUAUGAAUAACAUUAGUCUGCGACAUAAUGCAACUGGAUUUUCCAGCCCGAACACAUUUAUUUGGGCCUGGUAAUGAGUCAACAGCGUUUCAUUUCUUGUUUAGGCUAAGGGAGUUACUAUUUGCACUCCCACAUGUGGCUAAUACACUCUCCUUUUGAAAAUUUCCCCCCAAAAUAUCCUGUGCUUUAGAAAUUAAAAUACCACGGUGCUCCUUAUGCCGAUUGCCUACAUGGUUGCUUCUCCUACUACUAUCUUCGACCUCAAUUCCUCUCCAUCACCACUAUCCUCGUUGUCAUACCAAGGACUUCAUCUCUAGUUUUAUAAAGCACCAGUGCAACUUCAUCCCUAAAUCCAAGUACCUAUCAAAAUCUGAUAAAAAUCAUUUUUGUUUUCUUCUGAAAUCUUCUUGUUUCUCCUUAAUCUCCACCAUUGCUCAACACCCUCAUUAACCCAACAAAGAGGAUCAUAGAUCCAACUUAAACCUACAUCAUUAGAUCCAAUAACAAAGAACCCACUCUUGCUACAGUGACGAACAUGUGCUCAAGCCUCAAGGUGGACCUUUCAACAUCAAGAUAAGGGAUACCAUCAAAAGGGCCAAGUAGAGGGGAGUGCAUUAGUUUAUGAAAUAUAGGGUAUUUUGGGAAAAUAAAUUACAAAAGAGAGUGCAUUAGAAAUAAAGGGCAGUGUAAAUAGCAACUCCCUAGGCUAAUUGGUUGGGUUGAGCUUGGAGUCUGGCAUUAGAACCGGGACAAGUUAAGGUGGGAGAAAAAAGAAAAAUAAGCUUAGUCACUUAGUUGGUAAAUGUAAAUCAAUUGUUGAUUCUAAACCUAUUUUAAUGUUUUAUCAUUUAAUAAUCAAUAUCAAUUUGUUUCUAAAGCUAUUUACGCAUAUAAUAUUGUAUAUAAAAACGAAUUAAGGGAGAAGAUAUCACAUAUUUGUCUUCGUAAACAUGAUACGUAUUAAAGAUAGGAACAAUACAAUGACAUGAAAUUGGUGAGCUCAUAGAGAAAAUUUUAGAAAAGGAACUGCAUUUACACUUGACAACGACAAUUGUGGUGUGGCAAUUCCAUGAAGAAAAAAUGUUAGAGACUUGAGGGAUAAUACUAUGGUUCGGAGAAUCUCUGCUUUUGAGACAAUGGGGUCGACUCAACAAUUAAUUUGCACUACAAUAUAAUCCCAUCGUGUUAUUUUCCAAGUCAAGCUUCACUAUAAUAUAAAGUUUUAGCUAGUAAAUACAAUAAAACAAGAUGAUAGGAUGACCUUGUUAUAUCCUCUUGAAGGGAUGGAGAAUAUGAAAUGGGAAAAUAUUUCUUAAUCUUUUCAUGUUGGUUUGUAAGUCAACCUGUACUACAAAAUAUAAAUCUUUAAGUGGUAAAUAGAAUAAAAUGAGCAAUUGAUAGUACAUUUUUUUUCCUGCCACUAUGCAGGAAGUUAUGUAAGGAUGCUCUGUUUUUUUUUUUUUUUUUUUUUUGAAUAAAAAAGGUUAGGAGAUACAUACAAGUAUUGGCAGGGAGGAGUCCUAGACGUAGGCAGCACAAAUAAUCUGUAGCAGCAUGUGCUAUUCCAACUUUAAUGACACAUUUGAUCGGAUAUAGAUACGGAUAUAAAUAUUAUCUUACUUAAAUAAGGAUGAAGAUAAAAAUGAAUAUUAAAACCUUAAUAUAUAAUUUAUUUGAAAAUAUAUAAAUAAAUUUAAAUUAUAAAAAAAUGUAAUCCCAUAUACGCAUGGGCUAUUUCACUCCAUUCUUUAUUUUACGUUUUCUUGGGAAAAUUAAUUGCAAAUAAAUUUCAAUCCAUUUAAUCGAUCAACUCGCUAAAACCCCGUAUUUUUUUAUUUUUUUUUAAGUCAAAUUUUGCUUUGAUUACCCUAGUAAAGAUAUAUCAUGCAUCUGAACUCAAUAAAACUCGACAGAUAUGAGAAUAAAUAUUAAAAUUAUAAAUUCACAUCUUUUAUUUAUAUUUAUAUUGUAGCCGUUCUGUCUUUUAAAAGAAUGAAAACGAGAAGCAUCAUACUCAUCGGCGAUCCUCGGAGUUGCCAUCCCUAUUUGGAUGUGCUUGAAUUGCAUAUUUUCUGUGGACCGCAUCUCCUGCUUAAUCUAAUGCUCUUAUGUUUUAAUAGAUGUCGUUUUGCCUUUCCAAAUAAAUAAAAUGAGUAUGUUUGAUUAUUAUAUAUUUAGAAAAUUAUUUUAUAAAUUAAAACUGAAAAACUGAUUUUCAGAGUGUAGAAGUAGGGGGAGAUGAUAUAAAAAAUGUAUAAAAAAAAGAACAUGAGUAAUAGGAAACUGAAAUAAUUUAAAGAUAUUCUAUUUUUUGUUUGUUUUAAAACUCUAAACGAACGUAUUCAUUUUGAUUUUUUUUUUAAAUCAGAAAAUAGUUUUAAAAAUCAUGAAACAAAGAGGGCCUAAGUAAUAGAAUUAUCUGAUCAUAUUUUUUUGUUAAAAUUAUCUUAUCAUAUUUUAGUAAGAGACAGAGAAAACCAAAGUGAAAGUAAAUAGCAAAAUAUAUUCUCAAUUCUAUCAUAAUAUAAUAUAAAAUUUUAACUGAUAAAUAAAAUAAGAUGAAAACAGUUAUGUUACCAUAUCCUCUUAAUUCAAGAAAUUAUCCUGUAGAUUAAGAUUAAACACAAAAAGUUGUGUUUAUCUUAUGUCCAGCAAAAAAAACACCGUGUUUAUCUUAUCGGUUUAAUUAAGGUGUUUUUAUCAUUUGUAUCUUUGUCCUUAUAGAAGAAGUGAUUUUUUUAAUUUUUAUAGUUUAUAUUAAUUAUCUUUUAGUUUCUGUAGUUUGAAAAUAAUUUUAGUUUUUAUAAUUUGUAUUUUAAUUUUUUUUAGUCUUUAUAAUUUAUAUUUUAAUUCACUUUUAAUCCUUAACAUCAAAAUAUGAGUAAUAUUAUCAAUUCCAAUUAAUUAGAAAAAUAUUAGUAACUAAUUCAUAAUUAAUUUAUCGCAAGAUAAUAUGUAAUAAAAAAAUAAUUGAUAAUUUAUAAAUAAAAAAAUAGUUGAUAAUUUAUAAUUAAUUUGUAGCUAAUUAUUUUUAUAUAAUUUUUUGUAAUAAAAACUAAAAGAUAAUUAAAAUAUAAAUUAUAUAAACUAAAAAAAUCAUUUUUAAAUUAUAGGUACUAAAAAAUAGUUAAAAUAUAAAUUAUAAGGAUUAAAAAGACCACUUUUAAAUUAUAAGGACUAAAAGAAAAUUAAAAUAUAAAUUAUAAAUAAAAAAAACCACACUCAAAUUAUAAAAACUAAAAAUACAAAUAAUGAAAUGAUAAGAAACAAAUAAUUAAUUUAACUUGCUAAAAAUAAAAAUGGGGCGUAACGUAAGAGUGAAAUGAGAUAGAGCAGUAUGUAGAGUACAAGUGGAGAGGUUGAAACAGCGGUUAUAUAAGAAAAACAAGGUACUAGAAAAGACAGAGACAUAUAUAUUAUGUCGUAUUGCCAUCCUAGAUUCCAAUCCUUCCUUCCUUCACAUUCUAUUCUAUUUACCCUUUGUUGGUCCGCGAAGUUUCUUGUUUCCUCCAACAUAUAAUACCUCAUCUUUCUCUUUCAAUUUCUCUCUUCGCUUUUUUUUGAUUCACACACAAUGGGUCUCUGGGAUUCCUUCCUCAAUUGGCUCCGCAGGUAAACCUCUUAUCCACAAUACUACUAUUUGUUCAUUAUAUAUAUAUAUAUAUAUAUAUAUAUAUAUAUAUAUAUAUAUAUAUAUAUAUAUAUAUAUAUUUGUACUUAUUUGGGAUUUAUUAUCUGUGAAAUUUCAUCCUAAAUUUUGGGACAUGCUUUAUUGAUUGAGAUUCAGAAAAGCCUUAAAAGUUGAGCUUAGGUUAAUUGGUUUUAAGGGUUCCUUUUAAGUCAAGCCCUUUAAUGAUUGUGAGUUUCUGUUUGUUGGUUGUGUCAGCUUGUUUUUUAAACAGGAGAUGGAACUUUCACUUGUUGGCCUUCAGAAUGCUGGCAAGACUUCUCUUGUCAAUGCAAUUGCUGUGAGUUGCUGCUGCUGCUGCGUUGCAAUUUUUUACUCAAUUUAGAAACCCUGAAGUUCAGUUCUAGUAUAACUGUUAUUGACAUUGGUAUUUGGUUUUGUUUACCUGCAGACUGGGGGCUACAGUGAGGACAUGAUUCCAACUGUGUGUAUCUAUCUUUGCUUUUUGAUUGCAUCUUGAAUGGUUACAUGUUUGAAGAUUGUGAGCAUGUUUGCCUUUGUAAUUGAAAUAUAAUUCUUGGUGUUAAACCCAGGUUGGUUUCAACAUGAGAAAAGUGACUAAGGGAAAUGUCACAAUAAAGCUUUGGGACCUUGGGGGACAGAGGAGGUUCCGAUCAAUGUGGGAGCGAUACUGUCGGGGUGUCUCUGCUAUCGUGUAUUGUCUCUCUUACUGCUCUCUCUUUCAGCUAUAUAUUCGUGAGUGCAAACAUAUGUAUAUACAUUCACACACACACAUGACACAUGCAUAUCUUUCAUUGUGUUUUUUAAGUUUGGCUUUGAAUCAAAAGUUGCCAAUAAUCUUAGACUAAUAGGAUAUUUCAGUAUAGUGUUUUAAGGAUAAUGAUUUUUACCCCUCAAAAGUUCUCUCAAGAAGCUGGCACAAAAUUGAUUAUUUCUCCAAAAUAAGUUUGAGCCAAACAAAUACUGACUUGUAAUUUUUAGGUUUUAUAUGCUCUUUUUUUUUCUUUUUAACUUUUUAGUUUUUAGACUUCAAACAGGAAAUUGUCUGCAUUGUACAAUUUCAUUGGAGGUUUUUGUAAAUAGAGUUCCAUUUCAUGCCAUUUUACUUAAGAUACCUCAUACUGUUAGAGGGUUUUUUCUGGUUCCUUGGAGAAGUCUAGAAUAAUCAACCAUGUAAAUGAGGGUUUUAUCCUUACCCUAAGUGUGCAUUUGUUUGAAGAAGUAGUAAGUUAUUUUUAGGAAAGUGAACUUGGGAAUAUAAUAUUUUCAUGUUAUAAAUUUUUAAAAAAUUGAGCAUUAUUAAUUCCCUGGCAAGUGACACAUUCCAAGUCCUGUCUUUUUUUUAUUCCUGUGAUGAGGGAUGGCCGGAUGGCUAUGUUGCUUUCCCAUUCCUAAGCUAUCUUGUCAUCCAACCUCUGUGGCACUACCACUCCCCACUUCUACCACAGUCUUUAUCCCAUCAUUUGAAUUUUGCAAAACAUUUCCAAAAAUGUUACAAUGCUAGCCAAACAUUCAUAAGCAUAUUCUUUCAAAACACAAAGGCCUCCUAAGAUCUUUUUAGGAAUUAGGAGAAAAGGAAAAUGUUUGUGAAGCCUACUCUUAUAAUGAUUACCUAUUGCAAUGACUAACCAUCCUUUAAGUUUAUUUAAGCUAUCAAGAAAAUACUUGGGAACAGUUUUUAUUUACAUCAAUAAUAUGUACCCUCAUGCAAAUAGACUUUGGGAUUUAAGUGAGGACAAAUUUUAUUUCACCACUAACAUAUGCUGAAGCAUAAUUUGAUAUAAGAUGGAAGUAUUAAGAAUUGAACACCUGACUUACUCAUGGAAGAGGCUCAUAUGCCAUAUGAUGGUUCAAUCAUCCUUGAAGACACAUGGAUAUUGUCAUUUAUAUUGCAUAGAUCUCUAACAACAUAUAAUACAGGAUACUCACCCCAAAAGCAGUUUUUAUACUGUUGUCUUUUCCUGUUUAUGUUUCAAACACAAAGAAUGGAAAACGUAAUGCUUGGUUGUAUCAAAAUCUAUUGUUUCUGAUGAUCUAAUGGAAUGUUGGUCAUGCAUGCUUCAUCUUGUGGAGUGUUAUUAUAUAUAGCUCUUUCAAAUUAUUGGAAAUGUCCAUUCUCCUUGUUUUUACACUUUUGUUCUUUUCCUUGAUGGAUGCUAAGACAGAUAUGUUGUAGAUGCCGCUGAUAGAGACAGUGUUCCAAUAUCUCGAAGUGAGUUACAUGAUCUAUUGACAAAACCUUCUUUGAGUGCGAUUCCUUUGCUUGUUCUUGGAAACAAAAUUGACAAGUCAGAAGCUCUUUCUAAGCAAGCAUUGGUAGAUCAGCUGUGAGUUCUAGAUAUCAAUAUUGUCUUAUAUCUUUUUUCUUUAAAAAAAAAAAAUUGUCCUGAUGUGUUAUGUAACUAAUUGAACAUUUGGAUUUUCUCCUUGGUUGAUUUCAGAGGACUUGAGUCAAUUAAAGACAGAGAGGUCUGCUGCUAUAUGAUUUCAUGCAAGGAUUCUGUUAACAUAGAUGUAGUCAUUGACUGGCUAAUCAAACACUCAAAAACUGCAAAGUGAUCCUUGGUUUGGCCAGUAUUUCAUUUUUAGUCAAAGAUACAAGGCGUUGAGGAAAUUCCUUCUUGGUAGAAGAAUACAUUUUCAUUAAUUUAGUUGUGGUUCAAGUUUGUUUGUAUAGUAAUCAAACCAGGUCAGAUCACUCAAAUAUUGCAUGCAGUGUUCCUAUGUAUCAUAAACCGAUUAGUUGAUCUCGUACAUUUUAUUUUUUUUGGUUUCUAUUUUUAAUAAAAUACAAGUCCAACAAGUUUAUUUGUCUGAAAAAUUGAAUACUAUUGUGUUCCUUAUAUGGGGAAAAAAGUUAUAUCUUGAUGAAUGCUUCCCAAAUCACCAUUUGAAAAUGUAUCAACACUUGUCUUAGCAUUUGAAAGUAGCAAAGGCAUUGGAUAUUACUUGGCAAUCAAUUUAUUAUAUACAAGAAAGAUGGGCAUUAUUUAGAUUAGCGUGUGAUUUUUUGGUAUUUUUGUUUUUCGUUAUCUAGAAAAUAGCCGUGUUUGUAAGUUGUAACUUGUAACGCUUGUUUUAUAUGAUAAUAUGCAGCAGCAUAACAUGAGAAAUGACCUGUAUCUUUUCGGUUACAACAACAGUAAAAAUGACCAUUAAAUUACUGGAGUUGAAUGAUGAAUCUUUGGAAAUAGAAAACGCACAAAUUUCAUAUUGUGGUGUACAACUAUAGGGUUUUUCUUUCUAAAAUAAUACUAAAAUAAUAUUUAUCAAAAUAAUAAAAAAUAUAAUUACCAGUUUACGUAUAAUUAGAAAACGCCUAAUAAAAAGAUGUCAUUGCUCUUUUACAAGUUUAUAUUUUUGUUUUUCUAAGAAAACUGAAAAUGCCGACUUGUUAGGCGUUAACACCAUCUUUUAUAUUUUUAAAUAAAAAUAAAAAUAUAAUAAAUAUAAGUAAUGAUUAUAAGCAUACUCGUAUAUUAUAAUUUUAGUUAAAAUAUACUUGUAUCCUUCGUCUUAUUUUUAUUUUUUGGUUCUUUAAAAGUACUAAAAGAAUUGAAUUGGAGGAUAUAUAUUACAAGUUAUAACUUCACUAAAUAACUACAAACAAUAUCGGGCAAGUUAAACUUUUUUAACACAUCAUGGUGUAAAGUGAAAAAUCGUUCUUAGAUUGUCUCAUUGGUUAAUUAAGUAUGUGACAUCAUGACAACUUAUUCUUUUAUUUUAUUUUUAUAUUUAUGAUCAAGAAGCCUUAUUGAUAAAUUUGUGAGAUCAGGUCUCGGGUGAUAGGUGAUGGAUAAGGGAUGUCUUCCUUAGAAUAAUAAUUUCAAUAUUUGAACUCUUAAUAUUAUAAGUUUAACUGCUGUAAAAAAAAAUAUUAUAAGUUUAACUUAUAGUUAACUUUUAUUGGUAUUAAUAAAUAGUACAUGAAUUGAUAGUGUAAUAAAAAUUACAUUAUUAUUUAAUUAAAAAUUAUCAUAUAUAUAAUAAGUUUAUUAACUUUUAUAAUGACUCUCAUAAAAUUGAUAUCAAUAAUGAUUUGAAAUUAAUUGACAGUUUAAAAACUUUUUAUGCUCAAGGUACAUGCAUAUUAAUUUUUUAAAGUAUGUGACAAGUUGGAAUGCAAUAAAUAGAAUACAAAUUUUUUUUUUGAAGAAAAUUAAAUUUAUAAUAGCCUGAGUAAAAGAGAGAACUUGAUUUAGAUUUUUGUUAUACUUAGUAAAUUUAAACUGAUGUUUACUUUACAAAUUUUUCCAUAAAGAGCUUUUUCAUAUGGACCGUAUAAUCGCCCAUAACCCAUUAGAUAGAUGACUCCAAACCAAUUUCUCAGAAGGCCCACGACUUCUUGAAAAAAUAAUUUUGUUUUAUCUCAUCUGAAGGUUAAAAAUAUCUAUUCUUUCUAUGUAUUGCUAAUUUGAUUCAAUGGUCAUUAUUAAUUCAAAUAUUUAUUUAUUUUUAUUUGGUGGACUAUGGCUAUUGCCCAGCUGCCUGUGCGUAAUUGUUUUUGUUUGGCCACUAUUAUAAAAAUUAAAUGAUAAAUACAUAUAAGUAUUUUUCACAAAAGGUUUCACUAAACAUGAAAGUCAUGGCUGGGAUUUUUUUGCCAAUUACUUUCUAGCAGCCCUAAAAAUAUCAACUAUUAAUUCCUUUGUGUAGACUUUUGUGAUAAAUCUUUGUCUUUCAACCACUAUUUUUUAUACUAAAACAUGUUAAUUAGCUUAUUUCUUCAAUAGCGUCUGCGUUAUGCUAAAUUAUUAUACUUCCUUCUCAAAACUAUUUUUAAUAGAUGAUGUGUUUGAUUGAAUGCAACGUUUUUGACGCAAGUUUCCCCAAGCAAGAAUUGGAAUUUUCUAUAUAUGCAAUGUAUGAUCGAAAAUCCGUGAAAUAUCUUUGAGAAAACCAAUCAACGGAGAAGAAAAAACAUCACCCUAGGCAGUAUAUAUAUAUAUUUUUUUUCCUGAAAAUUUCAAGUAUACUUUUCCUCGUUGAAAAUUUUGUGGAUUUGAGAGAAGCACCUGUUAACAUUUGAGUUGACCGUGAUGUCAGCAACGUCAAAUUUUAAACUUCUUGAGGUAACAAUUAUGAUGUAAGCGUGAAGUGUCACGAAUAGAGAAAUUAGAUUAAAUUAUAUAGAUAGACGAAAAAAUACACAUAUAAUAUAUUAAUAACUUAAUACUCAAUGAAUAUAAUUCCGUUGACAAUACAUGCACUCUCACAUUGGACUAAAAAUCCUAAUUGGAUUGGUUGAAAAAAAUAUUAACCACCUAAUUACCUAAUAAUUGACCGAAUCACAAUUGAGAUUUUUGAUUUGUACGCUAAGAGCUCUACACGCAUGCACUUGUUUGUCUAAAUGUGUCAAGUACUUUAACAGUGCCGAGAGGAAGUUCAAAAGAGCACGUUGUCCUGUAGUUCUUUCUUUUCUUUCCCUCAUAGUUGUGUACAUAAUUAUUUUCAAUAAAUAUUAAUUGCAUUAGACAUGAUGAUAAAAGUUUCCAAUUAGGCACAACAUAUUUUGAAACCUAGCUAGUUCCAUGAUACUCAAAAUUAUCGCUCGUUAUAGUCAAGAAUUUAUUUAUUUUGUUGGAUGAUUUUGAAAAUCAUUGUUCCCAUGGACUUUGCGACUCUUAUCUAAGAUUUCAAACACUUAUUAACGUAAUAACACAGGCAUCAUUUCCUCACUAUUGUUGUGUAGGACAAUUAUGUCUCUCACUGACAUGUGAAAGGGCAAAAGAGGAUCGGUGGUUGCAUACACCAGCCACACGUUAGAAUGAUCUCAAAAUUUAUAAUAUAAAAUGUUAAUAAAAUGAUUUUAAAAAAUUGUCUAAAGUUCAAAGUCAGUACUACAUGACUUAUUAGGUGGCACUACGCAGGUAAGUCCAAGAUGGGUAGUUGUUGUUAUACGUCAAGGAUUUAUACUCUACUGAGAGAAUUGAAUAAAACAUAGAUCUUACGAAAUCGAAUUAACCCAGAAGCAGUUUUGUCAAGAAACCAGGAUACAUGCAUAGAAAGAGGAUACGUACAAAUCCAAUUUUUAUGCCAUUUUUAUACAAUAUAAAAUGUUUUUAUUCAUCAAUUUUAGUUUAUAUGGAGUUAAAUUUGUACCCUUUUUGUUGUUCAUUUUUAAUACUUCUUAAUUAAGGACUAAAAUUCAUAAAUAAAAAUAAACGAGGGUAUAAAAAUAAAUAAAUAAAUUUUAAUAAUUAAAAUCUGAAACCUGAAAUUGUAUAGAGACAAAACCUGAUUUAACUGAAAAAUUGAAUAAAGCAUAUAUGUUAGGAAAUCCAACUAACCAGCAGCAGUUUGGUCCAGAAACCAGGAUACAGAAACAUAUAGGAUAGGUACAAAUCUAAAUAAAAUAAAAUAACGGUCUUCUUAAUUAGUGUUCUGAUUUUUAUUUUGUUUUUGAAAGAACUAGUGUUCUGAUUUAGAGAUUAACAAUAUAAUUUUUUUAAUUAAAAUUUUCCUUAAGUAUGUACUGAAAGUAUACUGAGAUGCAUUAGUAACACUUUUUAAUGUACUUUUUUAACUAUUUUUUUUACGGUAUAAUGAGAAGUAGUAGUAACUUUAUUUUGUUUCUUUAAUCACAUUGGUUACUCUUUGUCAUUAAAAAAAUAUAGAUACAAAGAUGAUUUAGAUGGAUAAAAACAAGUUAGUGAAUGUCCCCUAAACUUAUUAUACCUACACAAUCUUGCUGUUAAUUAACAACUCAAACUCGGAGAAGAUUUAACUUGGGAACCGGCUGCUAGAAGAAGCAGGACUAAUCGUCAGUUAUUAAAUACAUAGAUUCUUCCAAUUUGGAGACACAACUUGAUUUUUGGGACCUAUGGUAGAGAACUGAAUCGCUAGUGUUUCGUUAAUUAAAGAAUGAUCAUGCAUAAAUUAAAAAUGAUGUAUAUCAUAUCAUUGGAAGGAAACUCAACAAAUAAUAAACAAAAACAGAGUUGUUAAUGGAGUAAGUAAAUGCUAUCGGUUAGAGAAGGUUGAUUUCAACAUUAAAAAUGCUUUUUUUUUUGCCAAAUCGAUCAAUAAAUAGUGAUAAUGUAUGAUCAUGAUAAUCUUCUAGGGAACUAGGGAAUGAACGGUCAAACACAUUAUUAUAAUCAUGUGUCCUAAUGGACCGUAGAUAAAUAUUAAUUAGAAAUUUAGAAUUAUAAACUUCGUUGUUGACAACUAUGAACCUUAUGUGUAUUUUUACUAUUUUGGUAUAACUAUUAAAGAUGUGUUUGUACUUUGUAUAUCAGUUGAAUUAUUGUGUCUUAUUGAUAUCAAGACAAAUUUAACAGGUGAAGUUGAGUGUUGCAUGAUUUAAUUUUGAGAAACAAUUCAAUGACAAUGAUAAUUUCUUGCCGUGCUCAAACGUGAUUUGCUUUGCUCUCUAACGGAUAUUAGGUGCCAUUUGUUUAGGGUUUGAUAAAAUUAAUUUUCGUUGUUGAAUGUGAUUCAGAUCUGAGAUAUAAUUAUGUUUGAGUCGGUCGGUGGAUAGAAUUAUUAUGUAUGGUAAUUUUUUUUGAAUAUUUGAUAUAAUUAUAUAUAUUUAAGAUUCGGAAUUAAGAUUAUUGUUUAAAUUUUAAAAAAAAAUUGUUUAAGAAUUUUGAGGACGAUGUCCCUACACUAUAUAUAAGGAUACAUGUUUAAGAAUUUUUUCCUUCUAGCUAUAAUUUUCCAACUUUCCAAAGUGUAUAGUUUCUGCCCUCCAUUGACCUUUCAUUGCGCAAGCAAUCUUUCAAUAUAAUUUUCUCCAAAUUAAUACGAGUCUCUUCACUAUUUUUUUGGAUAACGUUAUAUAUAUGAACAUGGUACUUCGUUUUCUGAAUCAUUUAUCAAUAUGAAGGAUAUAUUUAAGUAGAAAAAGCAUCACUCUUCUUUCGGGAGUGAAGCAACAAUUUGGAUAAAACAAUCACAGUUGAGUCCAUUCACCAUAUAUACAAUUAAGACGAUGCUAUUAUCAUGACACAAUAGUCAACAGCAAAAAUAGUUUGCAAAUGUCAAAUUCAAAGGUUGCUACUACUCUCUACUGGGUUGUUGCUGUUUCAUUUUCUCCAUCCCCUCAAAAAUAGCCGGCAGAUAUACUUACCUAGGCAAAUUCAUUCAGUCACCAAGACACACAAAUAAUAAUAAUAAUAAUCGCAUAUACCUCUUUGAAAUAUCGAUCGAUCAGCUAUGAACUCAGAAUAAUAUAUAGAGGUUACACACUAAAAGAAAAUAAAUUAAUUAACAAAAUAUGCUGUGAUAUAUAUAUAUAUAUAUAUAUAUAUAUAUAUAUAUAUAUAUAUAUAUAUAUAUAAUUAUAAUUAAACCUGUAUCUUAGUGUUAGCAAUUCUAUUCCAUGGGGGUUGGGGAAUUCAUUAUUCAUGAUAUGACGUGACUACACAGUGAAGAAUGGCAUACUAAAAUACCUUGUCAUUUUAUUAAUCAUCUCUACAGGGAUAUCUUUAUUUUGUAGCUAUUUAUCAUCUCUAUUCAAGUUGCAGUCAGAGAAGCUUAAAAACUCCAUCGAGUAUUAAAAUAUACAGUUGUAUUUUCAGGUAACAAACAUAGGAUUACUGAUGAAGAUUAAUCAGUCUCUAUCAGCUACGUCCUCCUUGGUUUGAUUAUUAUAUCUGAGGUUAGAUUUAAAAAAGUUUAUAGAUAUAAAGGUUACUCAGGUGCAUUUAUUUUCUUUAUACGUAUUUUAAUUUGAACACGUUAUCAAUUCGUCAUGUCCCUGCUAUCUCCCUUAAUUUCAUGUCAAAAAAGAAAAUUUCAAAAAAGUGUAUAAAGUACAGUGUAAUUAGACAAAAUCCCAAAAAUACACCAACAAAAUCUCAAAAACAAAAAGAAAGCAACAAAAUCUUGAUUAAGUGUCACAAUAUUCAUAGGAAAAUGUUUUAGUUAAGAUGGAAUAGAAACUUUUAUUUUAAAAUAUUUAUUAUAUAAAAAGAUAUGUGCUUAAAAAGUAUUUGAUAAAAUAUAUUUAGUGUUCCUUAGUCAUCCACUAGUUUUGCUGGAUACUUGUCCAGAUUUUCUCAAUGUUUUGUCACAAUUGAUGCUGUACGUAGGAGCUGUGUUCCUUCGUCUGUAAUCUUUUUCUUUAAUUUUCAUACGGAUAAAAAAAUACUUACAAUACUUUUUUUUUAUCACUUUUACAAUUUUCAAAAAUAAAAAAGAAUGCAGUAUUUUAUAAUUUUUCAUAAAAAUUAAACAUAAUAACAUUUUCUUAAAUUAUAUACUGUUUGGCUAUUUUUUUUCUCAACGUAAGUAUUAAACUACGAGAGGCUCAUGCUGUAUGACACACCAUCGUUGGGUCGCUCACAAAUCCUAAGUGGCUGUUUCUAUAAUUUUCGUAAUAGAGUGGCAAAAGGUCAAACCUUAUUAUGAAUACGUACAAAUAAUCUUUCAAGACCUUAAUAGAAAAAAAAGAAAGAAAGAAAGAUACAUAUAAAUGUGAUGUGAGGAAGCAUGACUAAGGUUGGUUUUGAUAAGUUCUUUUUCUAAUUACAAGUAAACUUUCAAAAAAAUUGUAAUGAUUGAAAAAGUUUAUUUUAACCCACUAAAAUUAACUUAAUGUGAUAAAGUAGAGAUAUAACAUUGAUCUAAUAAGUGAGAAAGGAUAAAAAAAGGAAAGAAUUUGCAUGUUCAAAUUUCUCUAAUAAAUAAUACUUUUUAAUAAAAUUAUUAAACUAACAAGCUACCAUUUACUGUUUUAAAAAAAUUGUGAUAAAGUGUUUAGGUAAUACAAAGUUUUAAGUUAAAAUUUUAUGGUUGUCAUUGCAUAAAAAAGAAUAACAUUAUUUUAAUGUUGUAUAUAUAUUUUUUUUCAAAAACAUAACCGCCUACUUUAAUUUUAAAACUACAUAUUCUUAUCAUCUUUUUAGAAAAAUUAUCCCAUAUAUAUUAUGAUAUUAUGGAAUUUUUUUAAUUUUGUUAUUAUACAUCUAAAUGAACAAUUUUUAUUUUUGAACCAAAAUAUCCAUUAAUUGAGAGCUAAGAACUAAUCCUUCAAACCAUUAAUCACAUAUUUAAAAGAUAAAAUUACAAUUAUGUUACAAUAAUUUAGUAUCUAAAAGAACAAUUAAUCCUGCACCCUUUUCUUUUGUUGGCAUUGAUGGCCAAUCUUUCUUGUUAUAUGUAUAGGUGUUAGCCCUCCCAUUUGCCGCUUAAAAAAAUAAUAGUUGCAAAUUUUUUGACAAUAUUUUAUUAAAAUUUGGCCUAGGUCUAACAUUUUUUAUUUUCUAGCAAGGGUAUAAUAGAAAUCUAAAUCGGAAUAUUCAAAUUUCAAACUUCUGUUUCAUUGACUUGAUGUUUUUAUCCAUCCAAAAUACUAGUUAAAAACAAAUGAUCAAUUUCCCUGUUUCUGUCCCUCUCUUGUUCUCACUUCUCACCACGUUCACACAUUGGAAGUAGUAGUAGUUAUAGUUAUUAUAAAUUGAAAAAACGUCCGAGAAAAAAAAAGAGAAGAGACUUAUGAUGUGUGUAUCAUUUGCGGUAAUGUCUUACUUUUACUUAAUACUCUUACCAUCCUCAUAGUCAUAGCCAUAGGUUUGAGUUAGUGAGUGGAGUAUCUCACGCUUCCAUCACAAGCAAAGCUGGUGGACGAGGUGGUGCUUUCUGAUUGAGACCCGGCACGUGCCUCAUCCCCAAUGCACACGUGCCCAUUUUAAACACAAAUCCAUAAUAACCGAUAAAACAAGAACAAUACAAGAAAGUAGUAUUAGAGAAAGAAAUAGUAUUGAAUAAUGCACACAAUUUUGUUCAUCAAUAAAUAAAAUAUAAAAUUGUGAUAGUGGGAUUUAGGACUUUUAGCGACUUUGAAGUUUAGAGGGGUUGAUUUCUAUAUAUAAAUAAGUUGGUGGUGGUGCUCUAUCCUAACUUGUGUGCAUAUUCAUUCCUCUUGGCUCCCUUAAACUCUCUUUCUCUCUUUGUGUGUCUCUUUCUCUAUUUCUGAGUCUCAGUGUUAGGGGGGUUAUUCAUUAUUCAUAAUAACUUGGCUUUAUAGCAUUUUCCCUUUUGAUAUAAAAUGGGAAGGCAACCUUGUUGUGACAAAGUUGGGUUGAAGAAGGGGCCAUGGACUGCAGAGGAGGAUAAGAAGCUCAUAAGCUUCAUCCUCACUAAUGGCCAAUGUUGCUGGAGAGCUGUCCCUAAGCUAGCAGGUCUCCUCAAUUUAAUCCUUAAUUUCUAGCCAUUCAAAUCAUUUAUGAAUAAUGAAAUGCCACAGUUUUUCAUGCUUCAUUUGCUAUUUGGUUAUGAAUAUCAUUAAAAUGGUUCAACAAUAUUUUGCAUUAUGGUCAAUUGGUUUUGUGGUCUUUCUUCAUGGUUCCUCUGUUCCGCAGCUCCUUUGAUUUCCAUUCUGUCAAUAACAAUGAAAUCAAGCACCACUCAAAAUUGUCAUACUCUUUUCACCUUUUAGUUAGAACUAAUCUUCAAAACAUGUUACAACAAAAGUUGAGCUUGCAUGUGUUUCUUAUGCCUUUUUAUUUGGAGAAAUCAUAUUUUUUUUCCCUUGGCUUCGUAGAUUGAGUGGAGAAAAUAAUCUUCAUGUUUGUUCGUUUUGUAAUUUUGAAUAAAAAUGCUAGGCAGAAACAAUUACUUCACUAAAAUUAAAUUUAACAAUUGGAGUGUGACUUCAUGCAGGGCUUUUAAGGUGUGGGAAGAGUUGCAGGCUCAGGUGGACAAAUUACUUGAGGCCAGACUUAAAGAGAGGUCUUUUAUCAGAAUACGAAGAAAAAAUGGUCAUUGAUCUUCAUGCUCAACUUGGCAAUAGGUUAUUUCCUAGCCCACUAUUUUCCCUUGUUUGCUUUUUCUGCAUGUAUAUUUUUCCUUGAAGAACAUUACUAAUAAUUAUAAUCAGUGAUUGUUACAGUGCUUAUUUGAAAUACUACUAGACUAGGCUUAUCUCAGGAAAUGAUGAAAAGCUCAAAAGAUAUCUUAAGUAUCACCAAACGCACCAACCUAAUUGAAUUUAUUAUUUUCAUAAUACAUACACCCCAAGUUGUAAUUCUUUAUUCAUCUUAGGGAAAAAGACGUGGUCCCAUGUCUCAAACCUGGUAGGGAAAGGAGGCGUACAUAAAUUGUAGACUAAGCUCUUUUAUUUUCAUAUUAUUUUUCCUUUUUUCGGGAUUAAAAAAAAAACUUCUCAUGAUUGCAGUUAAAAUUGACUAAAAUGGAAUGUCAUUGACGUAGAAAAGUAAAUAUGGGCCAAAUUUGUCUUGUGGGGAUUUUUUUUCUGUUUUCGUAACUUGCAUGGCAUAUGGAGCAUUUUAGUGGCUAUUAAUUCUUCCUUUCAAGUGAUCUCCGCAUAGACCUUAUGUUAAUGAAGGAAUCUUUGUUUCUUUCGCGUGUUUUCUUUUGUAAUCAAUACUGUAUAAUACUAUAUAUUAUUCUACUAAGGCAAAUGUUAACUAAUCCACCAGUUAAAAAAUUUAAAAUAAAAAUAUUUUUAUUAGAAAAUAUAAAAUUCUGCUAUUCAUAAUUUUUUUCAUGUUUUUUUAUGACUUUUAGAUUAAAAUUCGGUUAGUCAUACUCUUUUAUUAAUUAUUGAUAUUUUUUUCUUGUCAUUUUUUUUUUUACUCAGAUGGUCUAAGAUUGCUUCUCAUCUCCCUGGAAGAACUGAUAAUGAGAUAAAAAAUCAUUGGAACACACACAUAAAGAAAAAGCUCAAGAAAAUGGGCAUUGAUCCUGCCACACAUAAACCACUUCCUAAUGCAAAUGAACAAAACCAAAAUCAAACCAGACAAGAUCAACAACUACACCACCAACCAGUAGAAUUAGAAGAGCCUAACCAACAACCUUUGCAAGUUGACUUUGACCCCAAAGUUGACCCAAAUAAGGAGCCAGAGAAGCCAGAGACUUCAUUGGAAUCAUCAACCAUCACUGAAGAAGCCAAAGAGGAAGACCAAAUCAUAACACCCUUAUUUGACACAAUGGAGCUAAUGAAUGGUUUCUGCACAGAUGAAGUUCCAAUAAUUGAACCUCAUGAGAUUCUAAUGCCUUGUGCUCCUUCCUCUUCAUCCACCACCUCUUCAUCAUCUUCUUCAAAUUCAACCAAUUUUCUUGAAGACUUGCAGCUACCAGAUUUUGAAUGGUCUUGUAAUUACAAUGAUAAUAACACUAUUACUAACAAUAACAACAAUGAAGACAAAGACGACGACAACAACAACAAUAGCAGCAUGGCCUUGUGGGAUGAUGACAUUAUUGGCAACCGUUAUUGGCUGAUUAAUGAAGAUGAUGAUAGUGAUGAAAACCAAGUGUUUGAUGCUUCUCUCACUCAAUUCUCAAAAAUGUUCAUGGAAUCAGAAUCUUGGGGAUAUGGCUUAUUUUGAUUUGAAUUUUCUCCCCAUUAUUUGCGAUUUGCUUCUAAGUUUUUACGAAGAAUAAACGGUUAAUAAUUUAUUAGGAAGAACACAACUGUUGUUUAGCAUUACCAACUUUUCACUUUAUCAUUUACACAAAUUACAUGUAAUAUGUUAAUGGAAAUAAUAAGUUUCUUUCUUUGCAGUAAAAGUAAAAGUUUCUCUCUUUUUUUUCUCUGUUUUAUUUUUUUAAUUCAAUAGAUAUACAUUGUUAAUAUAAUAAAUAUUUUUUAUUUUGUUAAUUAAUAACAAAUUAUUUUUCUCUUAUGACUUAUUCUCAUUAUUAUUAUUACUCAUUGUAGUCUUUUUCUUACUAGCGCUUUCUGUUUAUUUCUUUUAUUAUGAAUCGGAUAUGAAAUUUUCUUGCCACUCAUGUUGGUUUGUUGUUCUAUUCGGUCGAAGUCAUUUUUUUACUUUUUCAUUUUUUGGUAUAAUUGUUGAGGUGGUUCUAAUGCUAGUUUCAGAGUCCUUAUCUUUCAAAUAAAUAAAAAGUCCUUAUCUUCAUACAACUAUAAAAUUCAUGUUUAUUUUAUUUUAAGGUUUUGUUAAGCAGACUCCUUUACUUAGAAAUAAUAAUAGAUUAUUUUUAUUAAAAAUCAUGUUAAGAUUUAAGAAUACAGUAAUGCAUAAAUAAUAUAUAUCAAUAUUUUUACCAAUAAAAUUGUUUAGUUUUUUGGUGGAAUAUGGAAUACAAAAAAACAACUAAAAUCCACACGAUAAACCAACAAAGGAAUAAUCAACUAACAAGAAAACAAAGAUAGAAUUUAGGACAACAACAAAAUCUCUUUCUGUAAUAUGUAUGGAUAGAAUGAACUUGGCGAAGGCAUUUGCCACCCAUUAUUGCAAUACUGCAUACUUUGAGUGAUGGAGUUAUGGCAAGACAUUCAAAGCUGACAUCCAUUAAUUGUGGAGGAGAUUUAGAGUCACAAUUUUGAAUUAUAUUUGACAUGAAUAUUUCUAAAAUCACAGCUAAGUCAGGUAAAUCCUCCAAAAAUCUAAGUGGGUUAAAUCACCGAAGGUAGAGGAAUAAACAAUGAUAAAUGUACUCUUACAAGUAACCAUUUAUUAAAAAAAUUCAAAAAAAAAAAAUCCAUAGUUAUAAAAGGAAUAGGACUAAUCAGUAAUAGACAAAAUCGUUCAAAGAAAAUCAUGAUAUGUAGACGUGAACCUAAUUACAAGACUUUCAAUUUAAAAUAUUUUAAUGAAGAAGUUCUUGUGUAGAUACAAUCUACAAAAGAUAUUUAUACUAAAACAAUAAAUGACAUACACACCAUUAUUGUUACUAAUGUAAAUUACAGUAACUUUUAACCACAUAUUUAUGCAACAAUUUAAUUAACGGAAAAUGAUGAUAAAUGCCAUAUAUUUAUGAAAAAUGUUAUAUGAAUACCCAAUGUCCUAUUUGAUCCCGGAUGGAGGAAAAAACAUAUAAGUAUGAUAAAAUUAUGAUGUAAUAAGAAGAAAUGGAUAAAAAUAGAGUGUUUUUUUUAUCAAAUAGAAAGAAAUAAUGAUUUGUGCAUAUCAUUACUCUAUAUUUAUUGACAUAUUCAGUACAACAAUAAUUUUUGCAAGUCUUUCAACUUUCAUCAAGCUCUUGCAUUCACAAGCGUGUUGACAUUUUCCCUUACCCAGUGGUUCCAAAUAUGGGGGUCAAUAUCACUACAACGAAAAGUGACAUUUAGUCAUGCAAUUAAUUACAAGAUGUGAGUCCAAGAAAAGAGAAUUACAAUAUGUGAGAAUAGUCUUCUGAAUUAUACCUAAUCGUGCGCAUCAUUCUCAAUCCAUACCACGUACGCGUCCUUUGCUCAUCGAAUCUACAUAGAAAAAAAUCAACUUACGUUAGGACAAGCACAAUGAGACUUCCUCAAAAUAACUAAUCAUUUAUGUCUUUUAUGCAUAGUCACAAUCGGAAACAAGAUAUAAUAUUAUAAUAAUCAGUUAGAUUCAUCUUUUAUUAUUUUCAAUUAUGAAAAAUUUGUAUAAAAAUGUAGACUAUCUAUUCUCUCUCUCUCUCUCUUUAUAUAUAUAUAUAUAUAUAUAUAUAUAUAUAUAUAUAUAUAUAUAUAUAUAAAAUUAUUUAUACAGUGUUAGUUUACAAACAAAUUAUUUAAUUUUUUUGUACCACACAAUUAUUUUGUUUAAAAUUAUAAACUAAUCUCACGAUUUAUGUAGCAUACAAGAAACAUGUUUCAUGAGAUUUCAUGUAGCUAUACCUCAACACUUGGAAUCAAAUUAGAUAAAUUUCACAAAAAAUACUUUUUUUAAAGGCAAAAUCAGAUUGUUGUUAAUAAAAACUGAUCAAUAACACAAGAAGCGUCUAAAACCAGGGAUAAAUUUCAGCCAAGGAAUACAAUUCCUAUCGGAUUAUUAUAUAUACAAUUCAACACAGGCGGCACAAAAGUCCCUUGGUUACCUAUAAAUUUAGGGUAUAUGUUUGGAUAAAUUUUUCAUAAAUAUUUUUAGCAAAAGAAAAAAGAAAAUGAAAAAAUUUAUUCAUAAACUAAAAUUAGUCAAUACAUGGAUUAAUUUAAUUUGUAGAAAUUUUUUCAUAUAAUUUUCUAUAAAAAAAACUUAUGUAUACAAAUUAAUUUUAACUUGAAGUUCAUUUUUUUCUCUAGAAGUAUUUCUGGAUAUGUUUAUUUAAGUAGACCCUCAAAAGAAAAUAAAAUAGAUCAAAUGCAUAAGUUAUUCAAUUUUUCAACUUUUAUAUUAUCAUUCUCGUCUAACCUUUUCGUAAACAUCAUAAAAUUUAUAGGUCUAGAAAAUUUUAGUACCAACAAAUAGAUCAUACAUUAAGAAAUACUAAAUACCAGCAAUAAUGAAUGAGAAAAAUAAAUUUAUAAAUGUAAGAUGUUCUUCAAUGUAGGAGAAGUCACAAAAACGUUGAGAAAGAUAAUCAUAGAAGAAAAAAAAGGUUAAGUAGCCAUCAAAUUUAGGAACCGAAUUGAAAUUAUUAUUAUUAUUAUCAGUGACUCAUUUAACCAUUAGUCACAUAGAUAAAUCUGUGACCGAACUGAUUUUUUUUUUUUUUUACUUAAAUAACUUUUUAGUCUAUAUAAAACAGGAGGCUACUGAUAUUAUUACUAUUUCUAAAAAAAUGGGGGCGAUGCGUUAAAAUGAUUAGGAACAAAAUCCAUGAAAAAGUGAUAAGUUAGGAUAAAAAAGUGUAAUCAAUCCUUUUAUAUUUUUAAACCAGCAAAUGAAUCGAGAAGAAAAACUAGAGAAAAAUUACUUUGGAAAAAUCUAUGCAGCUUUUUUAAAGAAAUAUUCAAUUUUUCGUGCAGAUUUAAAUAUGCAAGAAAAUUUACAAAAUGUAAAAAAUUUCUAGAAAUUUUUUUGUCAAUAAUCAAUAAUAAAACAUACAGUACACGUCUGUAGCAAAAUUAAUUUACAGGAAACUCGAGCUAAAAAUUUUGCAAAAAAAAAAAAACCAUGAAUCCCUAGUAGUGUAAUUUGUAUAAUUAGUAAUUUGAAAAAUACAUUACUUUAAUGUGAGAUAGAAGAAGAAAAUUCUGUAAAUGAUUAGGUAAGCUUAAUAAGGAUAUUGUCCGAGCAAGUUCAUUAGUUCUUACCGUGUAAAACUUGUCUUAUAGUUUGUGAUUGGUGUGUGAAGCAUUUCCAACGAGGUCAUAAUUAAACUAUUAAGCAGUUGUUAGAUGGUCAAUUCAUAGAUCCCUACGAUUGCACAUUAUUUCCAAUAUCUACAUUCAUUGUAAUCCCUUGGUAGAUCCUAAUUUCAUUCAUACAUUAAAAAGCCAAUAGGAAAUCGUCAUUUUAAGUUCAUAUAUAUAUAUAUAUAUAUAUAUAUAUAUAUAUGUGUGUGUGUGUGUGUGUGUUAAGAAACAGUCAGAUUAUGGACUAAAUAAAUAUUGUAUAUAUAAUUUUUCCGAUAAUAAUUAUUAAAAAAAAGUCUAGGCUUCAUAAUAAAACAAACACGGAGCCCAUUUUUUACGAGUAUGGAGGGAAAUUGUAUAGUAUAUAUGCUUUUAUCUUAACUCGUGACUUGUAAACUUAAUUUAUCUAAAAACAAAUUUGAUAAUAAUUAAAUUAUUAUUGCAAAAGAACAAUUGAAAAAUGUUUAUGUAACUGAUUUUUGAAUAAAAACAUUAAUUUAUUUUUUGGGAGUUUUCCUUUAAUAUUUUUUUUUUUUGAAAAAAUAUAACAUGCUUUGUUUGCAGAAAUUAUGAACUAACGACGAAGCCUCGAACAGCUAUGCUACGAAUAUUUAGCACCGGACCCAUCCUUCUUUAGUUCUGAUUAACUAUCACUCUUACUUUUUUGACAAAAUAACUUUCACUUGAUGGAAUACAUUUGAGCUUAUUAGUCUUGCAGAAUAUUCUUUCAGGCUGAUCAAUAUUAAAUCAAGGAAAAAAUUAUUUUUACUCUCUACUUUUGGCCAGAUGUGAUUAAGGUCGCUACUUGUUCCUCAAACUUUUGAAAACAUGCAAAUUUAGUAUUUUCUGAUUAAAGAAUUUAUCAUGUUAAAGUUAUAAGGAAUUAAAUUAUGUGUUUUGAAAAUUUUAUUGAAAAUCAAAUAAAUAAAUUAAUAUGAAGCGUAUAAAUACCUUGGCAAUGUUUGACUGAAAGUAUAACAACUAAAAAUACAUUUUCUUUAAAUUAAUAUAUUUUUGCAGUAUACAGAUUUUAUAUAAGUGGUUAAAUUGUUAACGAUUAUAUAUAUAUAUAUAUAUAUAUAUAUAUAUAUAUAUAUAUAUAUAUAUAUAUAUAUAUAUAAUUAACGGAGAGAAUUAAUUUACAAGAAUUAAGAUAGAAAAAGGUAAAAAAAAAAAAAAGAGUGAGAAACUAAAAAGGUAAAAUGAUUGAAUCCAAGGUUUAUAUAUGGCUGUUUUUUUUUUGCUAAAGGGAAUUUUUGUAUAGUGUAUACAAGCAAACAAGAAUUCUAGAAACAUCUUUUAUCAUGCAAUUGGCGAAAUAAUUAACUUCCCCGUUGAACAAUAUUAUCCUGCUUAAGGGGUUAGCAACCAACUCAAAGUGAAAAUAAAGUUAGCAAUUUCAUGUAAAAUACAUCAGUGCGUAGUAUAAAACAAAUCUAUUUAAAUUUGGAUUCCCUCGUUUACUUUACUUUAAUAAUUUACAUAUUGAAAAUCAUUAUUUAAAGUUCAGUGCAGAUUAUGAAAAUAAAGUAAUAAAAUUAAAUUAAAUUUAAAUAUUAAUAUCUUAAUUAUGUUAUUUAACUUUUUUUUCCGUAGAAAUUAAACAGGAUGAAAAAGAUUUAUAAUACUUAAACCUCUUUGAGCUAGACCCUUUUAUGUUAUUUUACUUUGUAAUCCCAUUUUCAAUAUGUAUAACAAAUGCGAUGCAUAAAGGCCACGAGCGAGAGUAAUAUAUAGAUGAAAAAGUACCAACAAAUAUGCACAGGUGUAUGUAGUAUAAAGUGAGGGGCAUAAAGUGUUGUAUAAAACAAUAUACAUGUGAAAAGGGCAGACCAUAGGUUUCAUGUCAUCCACAGAAACACGAGCAGAGAUUAGAACAAAUAGAAAAAUAAAGAGGCAUGGGAAUAAAAGCUGUUGAUGGUCCAUGGAUUGGGCAAAGAGGGAGGUAGAUAUGAUUUUUUAAGAAGAAAAAGCGAUUUAGAAGAAGUGAAGUUGGUAGUAAGUGUUUUAUUUUUGUUUUGUUUAAAUUCUCAACAGAGAGGAUAUAAGGAAAUGAAAGAUGCAUGAUUGAUAGUAUUUGGUGAUUUGGUAGGUCACUCCUUUUUUGAACUUAUUUUUAGUAUGAUAUAUUGGAUGGAAUGUGAGAUGAGAGAAAAUAUUAGAUAGUUCAGAAUUAUUAUAAUUUUCUUAAUUUAUAUAUGACACAUAAUUAAUUGAUAAUUAAGUAUAUAUUGUUAAUUGUUUUCAUAAAUAAAAAAUAGAAUUUAAUGACGAUAUAUUUUAUUAUUUGUAUGAUUUUAAGUUAAUUAAAUUAAAAUUUAAUAAAUUUAUUAUCCAUAAUAAAUUAUUAAUUAUGAUUAAAUAAUAAUAUAAAAUUAAUUUACACCAUUAAUAUAUAUAGUCUUUUAUCUCAAAAACUUAAAUAUGUAUUAUAUAGAGAUUAAUCGGGAUAAUGAAUAUUAUGAUUUUAUAUUAGUAUUAUUUUUUUUUAUAAGAAAUAAGUUUCAGUUUUGAUUUUUUUUAUAAAAAACAAAUUUAUGGUAUUUUAUAAGAAAACUUAUUUCUUAACAAAAAAAAAAAAAACAGAAAUCAGUGUGAUGGGAUACACUGGCACAAAAAGUGCAUAACUGAAAUGAGAAAUAAGUAAGAUAUGGGGCGGUGCAGUUUGGUCUCCCAAAACGAAUAGGACGGUAGACCCAAUCACGCAUGGAUUCCAUUGGUGGAUGUAGUGGAAUUUUGGGCCCCAUAUGUGACUCACCAAAAUCCUAAUGCUUCCAAAAGGUUUGAUAAAUAAGGGCCUUAGAACAAAGGUAUACAAUACUCUCUCUCUCUCUCCCAACAUGCUUUUCAUCAUGUUUCAAAUGAAUCAAUCUUCAAAUGAGUGCUUCUUCACAAGUCAAAUUUUUUGUGCUUUAAGGUGUUAAAUUAAGAUUUAUAUUCAUUCAUUUCGUCCAAAUGUUUAUGUCAUUAACCGUUGAUUCAAUUAUUCCUUUCGCCUUUGGGAUAUCCUUACAGCUAAUCAGCUACAAUUAUGGGAUAAUAUGCCAAACCAAAGUGAGAAUUAAGUAAAACUUUCCUUAGGGUGGCAAUUUCAAUAUCUAACCUCUUCAUAUUCCAAGUAAAAGUUUCAUGGUAUUAUAAAUAUUAAUUGUAUUUCUACCACGAUGGACCGAUGUUUACUAUAUAUUGUUGAGAUAAAUCUUUAAUGAGAUCAACUCAACACCAUGCAUGACAUCAUGAGGUCAAUAGUUUCAUAAUAGUUCUCUCUUCUUCUUUUUAUCAGCAAACAAAAGGAACUAUUAUUUCACCACAAUAGUCUCUUAUUCUUAAAAACCACCGUAAUAAGAAGGACAAACAGUUACACGCGUGAUCCAGUACUGUUAAAGCAUCUCACACUAUAAAUGACUUCACCCUUGUAAUAACAUUCCCUUGUUUGCAUCUAUCAUACAUAUUAUUAUGUUGUCAUUCACUAAUUUGAGAGUUGAAGUGCUUUUUAUAAUACUCACCCCAUCUCUCAAAGGAGUCUUGAAACUUGAGGAAAAAGAGGAUUAUCAACCCUAUUGGAGUCUAUAAACUAACCACACAGAAUUUAGUUAAUAUUUGUAUAUAAGUUCAUCUCAUAAGUAUCAAUGUUAAUUUAAGUAGUGAAAUUAAAUUAUGGGUAAAAAGUUUUGAAUUCAACUUUCGUUAAUAUUUUUAUUAAUUAGAUUGCCAUCUGUUAGUUACUCGUUAUAAGCUCUAAUUAUGGUUCGAGACAAUGUCCUAAUUUUAGCAUUGAAUAACAUCUCGCCCUUAUACUUUAAUAUUUACUAGCUAAUCGAGGGAUUAAGUUUAAAAGAAUAAUUAGUAUAUAAGAUGAUUUUAAUUUGAUUAAAAAAAGAUGAUUUUCAUUAAAACAUGCCAGACGUGUCAUGUUCUAAAUUAUUUUAAUCGAACAUUUUCGUCAUUUAUUAUAUUUUAUUGACAAACAAGUAUUUUUUUUAUAAAAUUAAAAGCUCAAAUUAGUAUUUAUAAAAAUUUAUUCCUUAAAUUAGUUUUUAUAGAGAUUAUUAAACAGUCAAAUAAUGCUUUACUCAAAGGAAAAUGAAAUUCGCUAAAAAGAACUAGAAUAUAUGUAUCUGGUGCAUUUCUUUUCUUCACUUUCAUGCAUGACCCUUUUUUUGUUUUCUUUCAAUCUCUAUCUCUGUUUAGAUUUGGUUAGUGGAUGUUAAUUAAUUUACACAUGGCAUAUGAAUUCCCUAAUGCUUUGGUCAUUCAUACAUAUGCUAGCUAGCUUGAAAACCUAUUUGCUAGAAUGACUUCUACAACCUAAUAAUAGUGACUUCAGCAACGCACUAGCUUGACGCAAUAAUACUAGCCCUAUAUAAUUAAUUUAGAAUAAUAGAUUGACAUCCUGGUACCUUCCUUUUUCUAACUAAUUGUGGAACAUUAUGAUUAUGCUGUUUUCUCAAAAUUGGCAUGUUCUGAAAUGGUGAGAUGACUGUGUUUCGAAUAAAAUUAUUCUUUGAAAAAUGACUUGUAAAAAAACGAAAGAAAGAAUUAGUGUCACAUUACACUGAAAUCCCUCGGUCCACACCCCUUACCAAAUGGUGGAAUAAUUUCUGGUUCAGUCUUCGGAUAUGACUGCUUGCCAACGCAACAGAAACUUAAAAGAGAUACCAACAAUUUAGAGAAGGCACUGCUUUUAUGAAACCGACCAGCUGAAGAAAUAAAAAGAGAGAAUAUCAUUAUUUUUCAUCACCAACUUUCAAUUAUAUAUAUAUAUAUACAUAUAUAUAUAUAUAUAUAUAUAUAUAUAUAUAUAUAUAUAUGAUACAUCCUAUAACUUUAAGUAAUGAUGGGUAUUCAGAAGCCUAUUAGGUAUUCUAUUUUUUUAUGGAUGUGUCACGACGUAUCCUUUCUUAAUUUUCAUACAAACCUUAUUUUUUCAUAUGUACUAUUGCAAUGCAGCAACAUUACAAUAUGAGAACCACAUAUUAUGUUUUGGAGAAAAAGGUGUGAUGUAGACACAAACACUUUGUCCCAGACAUUUAUACUUGGCUUUGCAUUUUGGUCUUUCAUAUGAUCGAUUAUAGGUGCUAUUUAAGCUUGCUUUCAAUGAAUUUUCAAAUAUUCUAGCAUUCUGAAUGAGUUGGCAGAAGCAGUGUCUUUCCGGACCUCUUGGUUGUUUUCUAGUCAAAUAGGGUACCGAAGCAUUGAUUUAAGUAAUUUUAACUACUCUAUUUUACUAGUUUAUGUUAUGUUCCAUUUCAAAUGAAAUUCUACGGGGCGUGGUGGAAUAGUAAUUUAUUGAAUAUAACAUUAGGUAGAGUGCUAUUAAAAAUAACCAAACCCCCAAACACUCUCGAGUUUNNNNNNNNNNNNNNNNNNNNNNNNNNNNNNNNNNNNNNNNNNNNNNNNNNNNNNNNNNNNNNNNNNNNNNNNNNNNNNNNNNNNNNNNNNNNNNNNNNNNNNNNNNNNNNNNNNNNNNNNNNNNNNNNNNNNNNNNNNNNNNNNNNNNNNNNNNNNNNNNNNNNNNNNNNNNNNNNNNNNNNNNNNNNNNNNNNNNNNNNNNNNNNNNNNNNNNNNNNNNNNNNNNNNNNNNNNNNNNNNNNNNNNNNNNNNNNNNNNNNNNNNNNNNNNNNNNNNNNNNNNNNNNNNNNNNNNNNNNNNNNNNNNNNNNNNNNNNNNNNNNNNNNNNNNNNNNNNNNNNNNNNNNNNNNNNNNNNNNNNNNNNNNNNNNNNNNNNNNNNNNNNNNNNNNNNNNNNNNNNNNNNNNNNNNNNNNNNNNNNNNNNNNNNNNNNNNNNNNNNNNNNNNNNNNNNNNNNNNNNNNNNNNNNNNNNNNNNNNNNNNNNNNNNNNNNNNNNNNNNNNNNNNNNNNNNNNNNNNNNNNNNNNNNNNNNNNNNNNNNNNNNNNNNNNNNNNNNNNNNNNNNNNNNNNNNNNNNNNNNNNNNNNNNNNNNNNNNNNNNNNNNNNNNNNNNNNNNNNNNNNNNNNNNNNNNNNNNNNNNNNNNNNNNNNNNNNNNNNNNNNNNNNNNNNNNNNNNNNNNNNNNNNNNNNNNNNNNNNNNNNNNNNNNNNNNNNNNNNNNNNNNNNNNNNNNNNNNNNNNNNNNNNNNNNNNNNNNNNNNNNNNNNNNNNNNNNNNNNNNNNNNNNNNNNNNNNNNNNNNNNNNNNNNNNNNNNNNUAUCGAUUAUGACAUAUAAAUAGAUACAUAUUACAUAUAUAUAUAUAUAUAUAUAUAUAUAUAUAUAUAUAUAUAUAUAUAUAUAUAGAUUAAAUUAUAUUGAUGUAACUUUGAUAAUUAUUACAUUAUUUUAUAAGUUUCAAUUGAAUAAUAUUUUCUUAAAACUCAUCGUUGGAUUGAAAGUUUCUUUCACAUAGAUCAUAUGUAUAAAUUUUCAUAUUAAUUCAAAAUCAUUUGUUACCUUAUUCAUAUAGAUUAAAAUCAACAUAAUAUAAACAUUUCAAAAUAUAUUAAAAUAUGAAUUAUUUAAUUACAUUUUUGUUGUUGUUUAAUUAUGACAAAAUUUGACAUAAACGAUAUUGAUAAUAUAUAGAUAUAUUCAACAGUUGAAUCAAUAAAAAUCAUAUUUUAUAUCAAGUUAUAAAAAUUAUGUAAUAUGUUAUAGUUAUAGCGGUGUAAUUUAAUCUCUCUUCUCUCUAUUUAUAAGAAUUUUAUAUUUUAAUUAUAUUUCUUUUUUGUUACUAAAUACAAUGUUUUUAUUUUUUCAAAACAGUGAAUAAAAGAAAAUAUAAUUUCUCUUUACAAGCAAUUUUAUUUUAGAAGGUAAUGAAUAUUUUUCCUUUUGCUUUAUUAUUAUUUUCUUUGCUCCCAAAUAAGACAUGUUCUUUUAAGAAAUAUAUAAAGUGCUUUAAGAACCACCGAUUGUCCUAUAUUAUAAUAGUCAUUGGAUAUGAUUAUGUAAAAUUUAAAAAGUAUUAAAAUAAUUUGCAUAUUCAUCAUAGUCAAUAAAAACCAAUCGAUGGUCUAAAAUUUAGGUGGAUUAUCCUUUAAAAAUCCAUCUUUUCAAUAGCUUGGUAAAAUGAAGCAACUGAAAGUACCUACUUAAGUGGACCCAAUAAUAAUGAUAAAAGAAAGUACCAAACUAAUGAAAUAAUGUAACGAACCUAGUACAAAGUUCCAGUGUCUUUGUUCAUUUUUGUUCCCAUAGGAAAGUGGGGUCUUCUGUUGGUUAUAACUCAAAGGGUAGGGACCUGAAAGCCCAAAUGAAAAAAAAACCCGUGUAAUAUUAUUAUAAAUUUUUCUACACUAUCAACCAUAGAUGUAAAACUUGGUUCAUUCUGGUUCAAUUGGAGUCUAGUGGUAUAACUAGAUUGAUUUUAUUAUUAGAUUGUUUAUGUAUGUGAUUCGGGAUGAUCCGAUCAAACUUAGUCAAUUUUAUGAAAAUUCAACGACCUGACCGAUCUUUAAAACACGAGUUCGAUUGUGUACAUUAAAAAAAAUUGUCACGUUUGAGAACAACGUCGUUUUGAAUCAACCCUAAAAUCUUAGUCACUUCUCUUCUUCACGCUCAUCUGCUUAAGACUCUCGACCCUUCUCUUCAUCUAAAUGCUUGUCUCGACCACCACCGCACUACAAGCCGUCGCCGUCGCCGUCGCCGCACUACAAGGGAACUCGUCGUGCCAACCUCGUCGCCAGUAAUGCGAAUGAAGAGGUCAACGACCUAGGAGGGGUCAAACUUUGACGACAUUGUGAAGCGGUGAUGAUCGAAGAGGAAGAGGAGUGGUUUUGAAGCGAGAAACAGAGAAAAUGAGGCGCAACAUGAAGAGAGGGUUAUAUAUAUAUAUAUGGAGGAUUAGGAUUUUUGGUUAUUUGAAAGCUUCUAUUGGGCCUAAUCCGCCCGGAUUCACUUAUUAAGAUGUUGCUUCUUGUACUCCUUUUAUUGCUACCCGCACUUUUCAUUUUGCAUUUCAUAAUGGUCUUUUCCAUUAUAUAUUGGGAAGUGCAGAAAACAAUAAUGGGGGUGCAGAAAGUUUAUCCACACUUUUUUGUUUAUUGGAAAACUGGACUUCUUGGCUCAUUGUGUUUAUUGGAAAUUGGACUUUGUUUUAAUUUAGGUAGUUGCUAUUUACACUCUUUUAUUACUAAUACACUUCACUUGUGUUAUCAACUUUAAUACUUUAAUUAUUAUUUUAAAUUUUGGAAUAUAGAAUUAUGAAUGAAUUUUUCUUAAUCAAAUAAUAUUAGUUAUAUAGUUAUAUAUAAUAGAUACAUAUAUAACUUUAAAUUUUUUAAUAUAAAUCGGGUCAAAUCGAACUAAGUACUAAUCCACCGGUUGAACCACUGACCAACUAUUUUAAUCGGAUCAAUGACUAAAAUGGGUUUCACUAUGCUAUUAACUAGUUAAAAUGAUCUUAAAUGAAAACUUUAAAGUAACUAUUACAAAACUUAAUAAUCUUAUCAUAUUUGUGACAAUCUAUUCUAUUUACUACUAGAUAAGGGAGUAAUAAAUAUUAUUAGUGUGUUUCAAUUAAAUUAAAAAUCAAACAUCCUGUAACUGAGCAUGAUUUUUUUAAUAAUAUUAAUCUGUGAAUAAGUGAAAAAAUUUAUUUCCUUUUAAGUGAGUUUUUUUUUUGUAAUAUUUGUCUAAAAUUAUUAAUUUUCUUAUGAUAAUUUACUGUAAAUAUAUUAUUUUUAAGAAAUUUACAUAAAAUUAAAUAUACUUCAUAACUUUGUCAAAUGGGCAUUUAGGUAAGAAUAUAAGAAUUACCUCUAACUUAAAACGCCAUUCAAAAUGAAUUUUGUUUCCCAUUCAUUAAAAAAACUCUGGUAAAUAGCUCUUCCAAACCAUUCAAAAUAAAUUUUUCAAGAUGGAUUGCUUUUGACUGUACAGCAAAGUGGAGCCUCAUCAAUGCCAUCCGUAAUCUUCUUCGAAGGGAUUGGACUUGGAGGACUAGAAUCAUCCCAUUGAAACAUCAAUUUUAAGACUCAAACUAUUAAAAUUAUAGAUAAAAUUCUUACGAUCCUUGUUAGAUAUUCUAGAAAUAUUUUUCCAGAAUAUUUAAUAAAAAUAAUUCUCGAAAUGAUGCCUCAAUUGGUAAAAAGUGAUCAAAUAGGAGAAAAAUGAAACUAAAUAUUAUGUUGUUUUGGGCCAUCUCAACUCAAAGCACUACAUCAAGUCAAAUUGUAAAAGUGUUGACCAGGGUCAACUUCCCAUGUAGGUGCAAGAUUUUUAAAAUACAUUUAUGAACAAUGAAUUCUACAUCGGUCCAAAGUAAAAUUACUUGAUCUCUACAUGCCAAAGAGCAAAACCAACAUCAAGACACCUCUAUUUACUUGAAGUACACUUCAUAAAUUCAAUCCAAAUUUCAAACAAAGUCAAGCAUCCUACCUUGAAUACAUCAUUUAUCAAAUGCUCUAAAAUUGAUGUCUCAGUUUUCAUAAAUCACUGCAUCAUCCAUCAAUUCUAGUUAAAAUUAAGAAAACUUAAUAGGCCAAUUAAACCGAUUAAAUCAAGAACCAAUCCAUGUCAGUUUAACUUAACAGUUUAAAAGGAACCUAACAAAGUUAAGUCAAACACUAUAAUCCCAAAUGCAAUUUUGGUAUUCAAACAAUGAAAAUUGAAUCUAAUGCAAAUAAUAAACCAAACUUGACUUCUGAGAAAAACGAGAUCAACAUAAAGAAAUGAAAACAAAAGUUAAUCACUUUUUUAAUGCUAUAACAUGGUUAUGUAUCUACUUUGAAGGCAGAAUUUGUCGUUUGCCUGAAUAUUAAAAUCUGAACUCCUUUACAGUGGUAAAGCAUGGUUUGAAGCAUAACUAUUUGAAGCUCCACCAUGCAUUCCUGAAAAGGAUGUAUUGUAGCUCGGAACAAAUGUUGAAAGUUUUCAUGUUGAACUACUUUAUAAUUGCAUGGUCAUGGUCUCAAAGAAUGUUACCAAUAAAUAUACAAGGUAUACAUAUGGAAACAUUUUCUGCACAAGCUAACCUCUAAUCAGACAUGGGACUACUACAGCUUAUGUUACUGUCAGGGCUUUGAGAACACAUGUAUUCUGCAACUUUUCUGGGGACGGUAGGCAUCACUAUGGUUCCACCAUUAUAACCAUCCUCCAGCAACUUCCCUAUUUUAGAUCGCCACUCUGAAGAAUUGUCCUCAUUUUUUGCUGUCAUGCACAACUCUGUCACAGUAGUUAAGCAUAGUUGCCAGGCCAGUAUUUGGUGUCCAACCAUAUUCCAUUAGCACCUUGGCUUCACCUUACCUCAAAUCUUCUCCAACCUUGGCAUCAAGCAUAGUUCCGCCACUAGAGGGUGCGUGUGAUGUGAUUAUGGGAACAAAACAACUCUUUCACGUUUCUCUUUUUUUAAUUAUUGGCAUUUUUUUAUUAAUACAACUUUGCUGCUUUCUUUUUUUUUGGGGGGAGGGGAUGUUCUGGUAUUUCUAUUUGGCUUCUUUUUGUAUGCCAUCUAUUAUGAGAAACACUUAAUUUUGUGAAGCAUUGAAGUUUUUCCUCUUUUAAUUGCUGAACUUUGAAAAUUAUACUCUUAAGUUGCUGGAUUCUCCCACAUUUCAAGAUAAGUAAAGAGGACUCUAGGAGAGUUGCGUGAGGGUUCUGUUACUAAUGGAGCAUAUAGGAUGAUAGUGAUCUUGAUGAAUGUUUCUGGUUGUGCAUGGUUGAGCAGUAAUAAACUUUACUCUAUAUGCAAAUAUGAACUGUAUAAGUGGUUUAAGAUGUUAGCAAGAAAGAAUUGAAAAGGGUAUACUCUUAUUGCUGAAGUAUAUCUGGCAAUCCAUGAAUUCAAAUUUUUCUAUUAAAAAUUUAGAACUUUUCAACAAAUUUAGGAUAUAUCUGAUAAGUGUGUUUUGUGUGUGUUGGAGCGAGGUUAUGCAACUGCUAAUGCCACUUGAGAAAUGUAUAAACUCACUUGAGAAAUGAAAGGAACAUAUUUUAACCAUAUAAUUAUUAAACUAAGUAAAUAAAAACAAUUUUAAUUAUCUGGCGUGGAAGUUCAUUGUUUAUUGCUUAUUGUAUAGUAUAGUGGUAAUUGCUUGUUUGAUUGUAUCUGUUGAUAACUGCAGUUGGAAAGAGGUUCCAAAUAGUGAUGAUUAUGUAUUAUUUUAAAAAGCUGCGAUCGAGUUUGGUAAUAAUCCAUUAUAUAUGGAUAUCAAUCAGUAGCAAAAUAAAAUUUUGGAGGAAUGAAUAAUAGAUGUACUUCUAAUGAUUGAAAUUAGGAGUGUAGUUAGUUUUAUUUUGAAGGAAUGAAUAAUACAUUUAAUGUUUGGGUUACAUACAUUUAAGACUUUUUGAAUCUUGUCUGGAAUAUUUAAAAUUUGUUUUCAAUAUUUAAAACUUAUGUUAAUUGUUUGUUAUUGAUAAUUAUAUUUUUGAUGUUGUGACCGGUAUCAUAAUUAUUACUUUGAUUUAUAUUAUGAUUAUUGUUUAUAUAUAAAUUUUUAAUAGGCAGAGGAUAAAUUUUUAACCCCGUCAUUUUUUAAGGGUGGGAGUAGGAGUUGUUAUGAGAUUCAAGGCAGAGUAAGCAAAAAUCGCCCCUAACCAUCUCAUUGUCAACCCUACUUGCUCCCUUCCCCCCACUAAUGUCUCUUUUAGAUCAAAUUGAUCAUUUUAUUAAUUUUUAACACCAACAAUAUCAAUAUUAAUUACGCAAAUUAAUAAAAGUAACAAUUUGAUUCAACAAAGAUAAAUAUUUAUUAGUAAUUUUUUAAUUAAUACUUUAUUAUAUAUAACUAUGAUUUUCAUAUGAUGCACAAAUUUAUCAUUAUAACUAUGUAAAAGAAUCUUUAUAAUUUAUAUAUUAUUAUAUUGUUAUAAAACUUUCAUCUUUGUUUAAUUAAUAUUUAGCCUUGUUAGCAAUUCUACUCAGUUAAAUAAUUAUAUCUUUAAUAUAAAUAUUUUUAUCCUAAUUGAUAUCCCCUAAAUACUCAAUUAAUAAUUGACUUUAAUUUUUUCAAAUAAGACCCCUAAUUUCAGGAUUGUAAAUUUUUUUCUUCAUUUGCGUGACUCAAAAUUGCACAAAUGACAACAACCAUCAUAUCAUAGAAUUAUUUUUGUUAUUGCAAUGUAAGGGAAUUGAGUUUGGUCCUUAAAAAUUAAUAUACGUAAAUUUGGGUAUCAUAAUUAUUUUGAUUGAAAUUAAUUAAUAUUCUAGUUGAAUAUUUAAAUAAUCUGAGGAAUUUUUUUCUUUAAGUUUAUAGUAUCAAAUUAUAUCAUUUAAUUAAUUAAUUAAUUAAUUAAUUGAUAUUAAAUUUGAAUUCAAAAUAUAUUUUACAUAACAUAUAUUGUCCCAUGCAAUACAUGUUUUUACAUAUUUUUAAAUACUUGUAGAUUUUUUUUUAUUACUUGGAGAUUUUUUCAUAUUUUAUAUAUUAUAAAUUAUAAAUAUUUAAUAUAACUUUUUUACCAUAAUUACCGCAAGUAUUAAAAAAAAUUAUUACUAUAAUAUUAAAUACAAUUAUUUAAUUUUUAUUUUCAGAAUAAUCAAAUAACAAAAACUUUAAGCAAUUAAUCACUAUUAUUUUCUAAUUUAUUUUAAUUAAACUAAUUAAUUAUUUAUAAUUACCUUAAUUGUGUAAAAGUGAAAACAUCAUAUUAGUUGCGGACAAACAGAUUUCAUUUUUAAUUAAAAUAUCUUAUGUUUUGUUAAUUAAGUUGUUGCUAAAUAAGAUUUUGUAUUGAUAAUCUAAUCAAAGACUUUUUGUUCUUAAAUUAUUUAUUUAUUUUUGAAUAUUUUUCUUUUUACUCAUAUUUUAGAUAGGAAAAUGUUAUCUUUAAGAGAAUUUUAAUGUUUUUAGUUUUUCUCCAACUUUUAGCCCAAUUAAAAGCAAUCUACACAACUGAUUAGAAAAUAUUAAAAUGAGAAACUGAUAAAAAAAAAAAGUGUUUGUAAUGUGUGUGUUUCUAAUAUUUAAAGAAGACAUUAUAGACUUAAUUCAAAGUUAUUCUCCCAAUAGUUAUUAUGAAUUGAGAUCAUAUAAUAUAUAGUAUCCAAAUCAUAGACCAUCAAUCAAACCAAAAACUAUGAAACUCAUUACACAUUAAAGCAUGGGUUCUCGUAUAGUCUUUACAUUUUAUUUUUUAUUUUUUGUUAUCUUUUUGAGGGUGUUGGAGUGUUCCUCCCUUUUCGUAAUUGCUUCUAGUCUUUUCUAAAAACACCACAAACAUUACAAACUAUACAACCUAAUUUGGUGUAGAUAAUGAUAUCAUGUUUCACACAAAUAAUAUGUACACAUUUCCACUACAAUUUAUAGAUUUUUGAUAGACUUGUGUUUGCGUGGAUGAUAAAUUAUUUUAACGCAUUUAUUCUUACUCAUCAAAUACCUAUAUUAUAUUUAUAACUGGUGAUAUUACUAGGUCUUUAGUUAUGUUAAACACGGUCUUUUAUAUAUAUUUUUGGUAUUCUAAUACUGGGAUUUUACAUUAAUAUCUGAUGCUAUUACUAGGAUUUUAAUUUUGUAUCAGUAUUAUAUUUAGUUGACAAAAUAGUAAACAUGAAUGGUAUUCUAAUACUAACACUACAAUGUAAAUAAAAUUAAAAUAAAAAAUAUUAAUUAAAAUAUAAGAGUUGAUUGAAAUAUAUCAUAUGAAUAUGGUUAGAAUAAGGUAUUAAUUAAAGUAACCAUACCCAUGUCUAUAUCCACAAAAAAUUAUGACCAGUUAUUAAUUUAUACUUAGACCAAAAAAUAGAUUUUAGUUUACAUCCUUUUUUAAAAAAAUUAUGCUGUUAAUUAAAUAAAGUUAUUUUGGAUAUAAUUUUUAAUAUAAUUAUUGUAAAAAUUAAUAAUUUUAUAGUAUAUAAUAACUCGUGAUUAGAUCACGAUGUAAAAUAUUAUUUAUUAUUUAUUACGAGUAAUUUUCAUAAGUAACUAGCCAACAAAUUUAGGCACAUAGAAUAAAUGGUUAGAUUGGAAAAAGUGUUACUCCCAGGUGCCAACUGGGUGUACUCGUUGUUUUUGACCCAAAAUUCAAUUAUUUCUAAUGUUCUUUGUUUCAGUUGGGUCCCCACAAGCCUAUUAAACCGGGCUAAGUUAUAUUGGGUUUGACCCAAUAAAGCGUGUGAAUGGUUCUGUAUUAAUAAUUGUUGACCCAGCCAUUCAAUUUUUCAACUAUUUACCAUUAUUAGUUUCGCUUACAAGUUAGAGUAAGUUUUUUUUUUUUUUAAAUCUCAAUGAGGUAAACUCAAAUUUUUUUUAAUUCCAUAUGCACCUUACAUCACUAAGACAAUUCUUUAGAUUGGUAAACUCUUAAAUGUGAAGCACAAAACUAUUUUUCCCAAAAUAUUAAGUGCUUGUUUGAAUUAAUUAUAACUAUGCAUUUUAACUUAUACAAUUGCAAUGUAUAAAUAAUUCAUGAUAAAAAAAUAUAAUGUAUAAAUAUUUUAAUGUUUAAAAAAAUUCAAGUAUAAAAUAUGUUAAACUUUAAAAUUUAAAGGAAAUUAUUUAAAAGAUAAGGAUAAUUUUCAAUUAUUAAUUAAUUUUUAUUAUAAUUUAAACUAAAAUAAAAAGAGUCACGUGAAUAGUAUUAUAUAAGAGUAAAUUUAAAAUUUUGUGAUGCUAAGAAAAUAUUUCUUUAAUAAAUAAAAAUGACAAAUUAAUACUACUAUUUGACAAAUUAGUUUUUCUUAUGGGAAUUUGACAAAUUAGUUAAUCACUCACAAACUCAAAUAACAUCAACAAUAAUCUAUUUUUGUUGAGAAAACGUUUAUGUUAAACAAUUUCAGUUUAAAAUAAUAUUUAUAAUAUAUGUAUAAAUAUUUUGGUACACACAUUUUUUAUCGUAUGUUAUCCUUAUAACUGCUCUCAUAAAUAUUUUUUUCUUCCUUUAAUUACACUAUUCAAACAACAUAUACUAAUAGUUACAUUAAUUAUGAAAACUACCACUAUUUAUUAAUUAACUUUCAUUAUUGUUACUCUAAAAAAAAAGACUUUCAUUAUUGUUCCCUUUUCUUUUCUUUUUUUUAAAUUAUAGAGGAGAACUGAAUGCAUUUUCUCUGCUAGUAUAAAAAAAGUAAAGAAACAUUUAAGGAACACCCAGCAUAAUAAAAAUUGGGAUGGAUAAAAAGAGUUACUGAUCAAAAUUUAAAACAUUGUAGCGUAUCCAAUAAAUAAUGGCGUGUUAUGGCGUAUCUAAUAAUAACAGCAUGGACAAUAGCAUUUACAAGGUGGCCCAAUUGUUGGUUGGUACGAAUCCCGUAAGAAGUGUUGGAUUGGACCGUUGAUAGAUGAUAAACAUUAUUAAUUUUAUUUAUGAUUAAUUUUAAUGAGAUUUUUUAUUUAUAGGAAUUAAAAUUAAAAUUUUACUUAAAAAAAUUAAAUUCAGUACUACUCUAUAUUAACUUGUAGGUCCAUUGCUAGUAUUGUUACUGUUACAUGCUAGUGCCUAGUGAGAGAGAAAGUCCUUUUGGUGUCUUCAGAGAUCAGAGAUGCAUGCAACCAUUCCUUGUUUGUUUCCUUCUUUUUAAAAACCACAAAACAUGUGUAUACAGAUUCCAGGUUUAAGGAGUGCAAACAAACAGAGCGUCAGACACAGACACAGCUAUUACUACAACACAACAAAAAACACUUAUACUGAGAAAAUAAAUCACCGUACGUUAACGGCUAGGAGAACAGGUGCAUGUCUUCCUCCUCCACAUGCACAUUAAACACACUAAUCAUUAUAAAGUAGUAUUUGUAUACCAACUUACACUCAUAAUUCAUUCUUAAUUUGCUAUUCCAACUCCUUUUUUUUUAUCAUAACUUGAGAUGAGAGUACACUAAAAAAAAGAAAAGAGGUGAGAAUAUUUAAUUAUAAUUAAUAAAAAGGCAUACCCAACGACUAACGUGCAUAUGUAUGUUUACAUAUUUUUAUUUUUAAUAAGAUGUUGAAUUUGAUAUAUUUGUCAGUUUUUUUUUUUUUUUUUUUACAUAUAUACUAAUGUGUAUGCUAUAAUUUUGGUUUGUUAAUUUAAUUUUUAACUUAUUAAAACCGAAUAUGAGAAAGAUAAAAUGAGAGAAGUGGGUGAUAUCUUUAAAGAAAUAAUUAAAGGAUAAAAUUAUUUAAUAUAAUGUGUACGCAUAAAAAAGUUGUCUUUAUUAUUGAUAUAGAUCAUUAGAUUAAAAUUAGAAUUUUAAAUUAAUUAUUUAACUAUAAAUAUUUAUUAAUAAAUAUGUGAUUUAAAAUCUUAAUUUUAAUUAAAUGACUAAAAAAUUAAUUUUUCUAACAACAAUUAAGAAUAUAUGCUCUCUUUUUCUCCUUUUUUUAGUACACAUUUUUCCUUUUUUUUGUGUGUGUACACCUUUUCCUCUCUCUAUUUAUCCUAGUUUGAGUUAAAUACAUCAAACAUUCGGUGCGAUUAACUCUUUCGUUUAAACGUUUUUAUAUGUAAGGUUUAAAUUUGAAGCCUUAUUAAAUAUUAUUAUUAAUGAACUCAUUAAUAGUAUAGUUUAAACUAUUCAAACUAUACGAGUUUUUGGCAUUGCUUGAUCUAACUGUUAAAGCAAGCUCGAUUCUUUUAAAAAAUAUUCGAGUCUUACAUAACCCGAAGUUUAUUUAAGUACCUCACGUAAUCUUUACAACUACAUUUUCACAUUAUAAAAUGAAGAUACGAAUAACUAAACAAAUAAAACAUUAAAAGGAGAAAAAGGUGCUUCUUAAUCUCAACUCAAGUCUUGUUAAUGUUUCCUGGGUUUUGGGCUAAUUCUUUAGCUUGGGUAUCGUUUGGUAGGGUGAAAAACAUAAAAAGAAAAUAAGAUGCAAUCAAAAUUUUGAAUUAAAAUAUGAAUUUUAUUUUAUUUUAUUACUUUUUUUUCUCUUUAUGCAAACUAUUGGAGAAACUUACCACUUGUCAAUAGUUGUAUAAUAUUUACACAAUGUAAUGAUUUAUUAGCGUGGGAUUGAAUAAACGUUGAUAAAAUUAAUUUUAAAAUAAUAUAAUUUAUAUUUAGAUAUUUUAUUAUAAAAUUAAAUGAAAAAUAAAAUUUAUUAUAAAUUUUUGAAUUCAAUGUAAAAAUAACUCAAAAUUCCUUGACAGAAUAGUUUUGGCAAGCCAAAGACACACUUACCCGUUUAAUUUGUCUGACAAGCUUUCCACGUGUGAUUUCUGUCUUGAUCUUGUAGCCCCCUCUCUCAAACACAACACAGUCAUAUAUUCUCUCCUACAACUUUACCCCACUUUCUCUGCUUUUCAAUUUUACUCCUUCUUCCGGUUUUCAUUUUCAUUUUCUUCACAUUCCUCCUUUCUCUCUCUUUCAUUAUUGAGAGAGAGUUCUUCUCUCCAGACUUCUCAAUCCUAUGGCUCUGCAUUUUCUUCUCCUCCUGCUUUUUGCAGUGUCUUUUGUUGCUGCUGAUGAAGGUUAGUGACUUGACACUUUUACCCCUCUCCCCCCUUUUUGUUUUCUUUGCUAACUCUCCUGUUAUGAGAUCCUGUGUUUUCCACUAUUUUGAGUUAUGCUUGCAUUCUGAAUCUUUCAUUGCCCUUUAUUUUGUUUUCUCUACUUAGUUUGGCAUUGUUUUAGAAUCACUGCAAAACUCACUUUUGUUUAACCUGCAUGGUUCUUCUUGAGCCUUUACUUGUUCAGUUCUCAGUUCUCCUAUGACUCCUUGCUGUUUUCUUGAGGAGUUUUUGGAGUUUGCUUUGUGGGGAAUAGAACUUAACCAUGCUUUGUCAUAUCAAGGUCCAAAUACACUCUUCCCAUUUUCACACCUUUCCUAGCAGUAGCACACCCUUGCUGUGGAUUAGGAACUUAGAAUGUUAUUUGAGAUUUAAUUAGUGUUAAAAUGUUCAGAACCAAGGUUUGAUGGGGUCAUGCAAUAGCUGAGAUAUAAUUGGUUAUUUUGUUAGUCUGUUUCCUAGUAGAGUUUGUGUGUUUUUCCUUUGCAUUUUUAUCCUGUAUGGGAUUGAACUUCUGGCUAAUAAUUAAUAAACAUAUGUUUUUAAAAAUAGUCAGGGUUUUGUUGGUUGUUGAUCUUCUUGGAUGCGGUCCUCCUGUAGGAUUCAGAUUUUUGUAAAUUGAAUAGGACGUUUCUUUUGUCCUUCUAGUAAGUCACGUAUUGUCAUUUUCCCCAACAUUUGGAUGUGUGUAAUACUUUGUAGUAGAGGUUGGGGAAGUUAUUUUUGGAAAAGCUUUCUACUUUUGGGGAGCUAUUCUAUUGUCAUUUUCCCUCAAAACUUGGUUUGUUUGGAACAAACAUAAUGUGCGUAAGAGUCUGCUUGCAUAUGUUUCCCAGUUACAACUGGACUUGGUUAAUUCAGUGAGGACUUAAAUCUAAUUUUUGAUGGAUCUUAAUGUUUGUACCUUGCAGAACCAUUUAUAGGAGUGAAUAUUGGAACAGAUCUCUCUGAUAUGCCACACCCUACUCAAGUAGUAGCUCUACUUAAAGCCCAACAAAUUCGUCAUGUUCGUUUGUAUGAUGCAGACCAAGCUAUGCUCCUUGCACUUGCAAAGACAGGCAUUCAGGUUGUUGUGACUGUCCCAAAUGAAGAGAUCCUGGCAAUUGGUCAAUCGAAUUCCACGGCUGCCAAUUGGGUUUCCCGCAACGUGGUAGCACAUUAUCCAGCCACCAAUAUCACAGCCAUUUGUGUUGGUUCUGAGGUUUUAACUACCCUCCCGAAUGCGGCAAAAGUACUUGUCAGUGCGAUUAAAUACAUCCAUUCAGCCCUUGUGGCAUCCAAUCUUGAUCGCCAAGUUAAAGUUUCAACACCCCUUUCCUCAUCCAUCAUUCUUGAUUCAUUUCCACCUUCUCAGGCUUUCUUUAACCGCUCACUCAAUCCAGUUUUAGUCCCACUACUUGAUUUCUUGCAAUCCACUGGCUCUUAUCUGAUGCUAAACAUAUACCCUUACUAUGACUACAUGCAAUCAAAUGGAGUGAUUCCAUUAGAUUAUGCACUUUUCAAAUCUCUCCCUCCAAACAAAGAAGCUGUUGAUUCCAAUACCCUCCUCCACUACACCAAUGUCUUUGAUGCCAUGGUUGAUGCUGCAUACUUUGCCAUAGCUUUUCUAAAUUACACCAACAUUCCUGUUGUGGUGACUGAGUCAGGGUGGCCCUCAAAAGGUGGCUCCAACGAACCUGAUGCAACGGUGGACAAUGCAAAUACUUACAACAGCAAUUUGAUCAAACAUGUGUUUAACAAAACCGGAACUCCCAAACAUCCUGGAAUUGCUGUUAGUACUUACAUCUAUGAGCUCUACAACGAGGAUAUGAAGCCUGGGCCAUUGUCAGAGAAGAACUGGGGACUGUUUGAUGCAAAUGGAACACCUAUUUACAUUCUACACUUGACAGAGUCAGGGGCAGUCUUAGCAAAUGAUACCAGCAACAAUACUUUCUGCAUUGCAAAGGACGGUGCUGACCCGAAGAUGCUGCAGGCUGCACUAGAUUGGGCAUGUGGACCGGGCAAGGUCGAAUGCUCUCCAUUGCUGCAGGGGCAACCAUGCUAUGAACCGGACAAUGUGAUUGCACAUGCAAAUUAUGCAUUUGACACUUACUAUCAUAAGAUGGGAAAGACUCCUGAUGCAUGUGACUUCAAUGGAGUGGCUACUAUCUCCACCUCAGAUCCAAGUAAAUUAUUGUUCCCUAAUGCUAUGCUGGAUUAGCUUUAGCAUUUUUAUAUUUCUGUCAAUUUCUAUCUGCAAUCACUUCUAGGAUAAUUAACACAUUUUUUGAAUGAUUGUAUAGGUCAUGGUUCUUGUUUAUUUCCUGGAAGGUAAGAUAAGAUAUUUGCUUCUUUGGUUCAUUUUCAUUCUUUUCAUUAUCAUCCUAUGUUUGUUGUGUUGUUAACUUGUUAUUGCUCAAAAGUGAUGUCUUUGUGAAUAUGUGCAGUGUUGGCAAAAAUGGAACCUUAGGUAACUUCACAGCUCCAUCCAUGAAUUCUACAAAUUCAGAUUCCUCAGCCUACAAAUUCAGCUCUGACUUGAGAAUUAGAAGCCUUUUAAUGGUAGCAGGAUUUCUAUUAUGGGGAGUGGUUUUGCUAUAAAGUGGUAUAUGUCAGAUCGUGUUACUUUGAAAAAUUUUGUGGUGGAUGAUAAUGCUACUACUACAUAUUCGUCUUGGUAGCAUUGUGUUGUUCAUAGUGGUCCAUUCAAUUUUGUACAAAAACCAGCCAAGGGUUUGGACCGAAUGAGGCCGCAACUGAAUCAUCAUCAUCAUUAUUAUUCUUUUCAACUAGAAUUGAUUCAAUCUUUAUCAACCAUUGACUAUUUUUUAUUGGGUUAGUUAUAAUCUUGUGCUAUAUAAAUAUAUAUUGCACCCCCUCCCUCCCCCAAAAAAGGAAAAAAGAAGACUAUACUCAUUAUACAAAUCCACAGGGCUAUUAUUACAAAUUUGUCUAUGUAACUUUGUUUGAUUCAACUUGAAAGAGAAUAUAAAUUAGUAAGCCCAUCAUUAACCGAAAAACGUCUGAAAAUGUCAUGGGUUCUUGAGGUUAUAUUCAUUUGUUAACACGGGGCUUGUUUUUCUAUUACUGAAUUAGUCCAAGUGUCUAAUAUAGACAAAUUGCCGUUUCUGGUAUGUAUAUCUAUUGCUAAUUAGUUAGAUCAAUCGUAAUCUGGUAUGUUUCUAUUGUAUAAAUUGCUAGGCCUAUAGGAAUUAGGAAUACUCAGUUUAGAAUUUUAAUUUUAACCUUAUAUUCAAUUUUUUAAAAUGCAAAUGCUUUUUAAUUUCGUGUCUUUUUCGAGUUUUUCUUGUUAAUAAAAGUAUUUUUUUUAUUCAAAACAUCUUAUAUACAAAUAACGUAAAAGAAUAAACUAUAAAGGAAUGUCACGGUUAUAUAUAUAUAUACAUUGUAUCCAGUCUCAAUAGUUAUUAAAGGAAAUAAGAGCAUUUAGUUUUAAUCAUUGAAUUAAUUGCUCAGAUUGCAUUUUUUAUUAUAAAUAUCAUGCAAUUUGAAUUAAAAAAUCGUGUGAAGUUUAUAAAUUAGCAUGCAUUUUGAAGUGUUAAUUUUAAUCAAAUGAUUGUAAUUAAAUUCAUUUAUUUAUCAUAGUCAAAAGUUUUCACCUUAUUGUCACUUUAUAGAUAGAGAUAGAGGUGGAUUAUUGUUUCCCAAAAAUGUUUUAAUAUUUUUGAAAAAUCAUAUGAACUUUGUUUUUUUAUAUGUAAAUAAAAAUGAUCAAAUAGUUCAAGAACCGUAGAUUAAUUUAACCUUUGAAAAAUGAGUUGGAAGCAUUAACUCACUUUUUUGGGGAUAGACGGGCAAAAUGAUAUAAGUUAAUCUGUAUUAAUUUGAAGAAAAAACAGUAAUUGAAAUUUGAAAAACUAACUAAAAUUUUUAAAAAACUAAUUAAUAGCUAAUAGUUGUUAGGUUAAUUUUUUGUUACAAUAUUUUUUUUUUGUCAAAAAGAAGAGUUUAAGCUUGAUCUUGUUUUGAUUAUAGUUGUCGUGUGGAAAAAAAAUCAGUUAAGUAUAUAAAGCAAAUAAAAUUGGUUUGCACUACUCUUUUUUUUUUUAUGAAAAUUUGUUUGCACUACUUUUUGAUUGUUAUCUCCCUCCACAGGACAACUCUAUGCAUAUAAAUUAUUCAGUUUUAUACUUUAUUUUAUUUUUUAAUUAUAUAUACAUUUUAACAUUUUUUUUUAAAAUCCCGACUUAACACACGACAACUCUUGCAUUUUUGGCAUCGUGCAUAGGUGCUCGGUGCUCCCGUUUUUCGGCUUAAACGGCGGUACAGCCGAACAGUUACAGUGGCAAAUUGGUAAUUUCCAAAUCCCAAAACCCUAGCUCAAUCGGGGAUAUAUAAAUCAACUACGAGCCUCAUCCUCCCACAAGUUUCUCUGUUUUUUUUUUUUUUUUUUCAGUUCUGAUCAUUUUUCUUAACCUUAGAUGGAUAUCACUUCUCCAAUUUUUUCUGUUUUCAAUAAGCGAUUUUUUGUUGAAAGUGACGUGCAUCUACUAUGAUUCUCUUUUGCUCUAACAGUGGAAUAGAGAAUACGAAAAGAUGCAAAAUCAACAGGUUCCUCUAUGGACUGGCAUAGUCCCAAUUCUCAAUGGAUUUUUGCUAUUUCUCGUAGGUUCCACAAUUUCUAACCUUUUAACCAAUUUUCGCUUUCCCCCCUUUCUGGGUUUUGGUUUUCAUUCCCCAAAAUUAAGGAAUCCAUUGCAAGCAUCUUACUUUUACUUUUGCUUUUUAAUUUUUUUUAGUCUUCUGGGUUCUGAUUAUUUUUCCAUAAAAUUAACAAAUUCAUUACAAAGUUUGCAUUUUUUUUUGUUUGAAUCGAAUUGGAACCGUUCUAUGUUUUAUUGUUUUUCAGAUCUCACUUCUGGGUUCUUUUAUUUUUCCUUAAAGUUAACGAAUCCAUUACAAAGUUUGCAUUCUUUUUUGUUUGAAUUGAAAUAGAACCAUUUUAUGUUUAUUGUUUUUCUGAUCUCUCAUCUGGGUUCUGAUUAUUUUUCCUUAAAGUUAACGAAUUCAUUACAAGGUUUGCAUUUUUUGUUGUUUGAAUUGAAUUGGAACAGUUUUAUGUUUUUUUUAUUGUUUUUCUGAUCUCUACUCUAUGUAUAUGAAUGCUCGAUGAUUUUUUUGCUUUAACCACACCGAAUAGGGGCUGGACGAGGUUAUGGGUUCCCUUUUUCUUUAAGUGAUCUUUUUGUACUUGGUUUUGCCUCGUGAUUUCAUCUUCUAGCUGAAGAGGUAUUUAGUUACCUCUCCUUUUAGACAUUGGGAGAGGGCAUUUUCCAGCACUUGAAGUCUCGGCUUAAAUUGUAGGGGUCUUUACUCGUCUCAAGUUUUCUCAUGUGGAAAAAACUGGCCUUUCAACUGAGAGCAAUUCAUUACUGUAACUCUUCGAUGUUUUUGAAAAAUUGUUUUUAAUUCGCUUGUCAUUCUUGAUUGUUGAUUUGUCUCAUGGUGAUUGUUAUGGAUCUAUGGAAAGGAAGAUUGAAUUGGAUUGAUUAGGUCUUCUGCAGGUCCCAGAAGACUGCAGGGGGGGUGUUCUA